AGAGCUCCAGCAGGUGAGCAGCGAUUCGCCUCUGAGUCGUGGACAGUGCUGCUCUGCACACUCCUCUAAAUGCUACCUUGUAGGCUGACAUUGCUGGUGCAGCUGAAGAAGCAGGUAACACAACUACCUGUGUACUCGUGUUACCUGCUACACGAUUACAGGUAACACACUGAACACUGAACAAGUUACAUUUCUGACAAAUAUAAUUCCAUUACAGUAAAAUGUUAUUUAGUAAUGCUGAACCCCAAACACUGAUUACAGGUAUAAAUCAGCCCACACAAACCAGUGCACUUUAUAUUCUGGAUUUUAUGGUAAAUACAUCUUUAAACAUACAUAAAAGGGUAAAAAGUGAGUCAAAAUAAACCCUAAAACUAAAAUCAAACCAGAGACUGUUGGAAAAGAAAAAUCUCUGUCUUACAUAUUGGGGUCUCACGAAUUGAACUGUUCACCAAAAACUUUUCUAACACUAUCCUCUCAAACACUUUUUGUUUCCAAGGUCAUUCAUGUUAGAGAAUAAGAGGUGCAUUUUUAAUUUAAAAACUACAUCUACUUUCAUUGGUAGCAGCUCACAGAAGGAAAAUUUCUCAUUGGAGUAGAGUCAGAGGUUGAAGACACUGAGGCAGUGCUUGCUGCUCAUGAGCACAAAAAGAGAGAAAAAAAAACACACAUAGAAAGGCUUUUAUUCUGUUGAAAGGGAAGCUCUUUCUGGUGCAUAAAAGACUGAAAACACACACACACACACACACCUGUUAGCUUUGUCAUCCAGCCUGAGUGUGUAUUGAUCGGAAGCAGGGUGGUUCUGCUCCACACAAAUAGAUAGCAAAGCAUUGAUUUUGUGCCUUUAGUUUGAUGGAGCAAUGUACAUAAGAGAGAGCUGAGGAAGGAAGGUGUUCAAAGUGGAAGAGGAACUUGAUCGGCGACAGGUGAUAGUAUCUAGUAUCUAGUAUCUGGACUGUUGCUGUGAUGCUGUGAACAUGGCGCACACUUACUGGGGCUUUAUAUGUGCAGUGAGUAGCAGGCUUUGUGAUCUUACAGCACAGGAAGUCGCUUUUUCUUGGUUUGGUCUUAACAAUGACCAACCAAUGUCAAACACUAUCUGUUAUAAUACGGUUCAAUAUCCUAAUCCUAACACUCUUUUGUGCUACCUUUGUAGACAGAGUAAGGAAACCAUUAAAAAACAUGCUGCUGAAAACACUGACCAUGUAGACACUUGGUGUGGUGCCACUUUAAAGUGAACUGGUUCAGCGUUCAAACCCCAGAGAAGAGCUUUCCAGGAAAUGCUUUACUCAAAUUGCAGUCUGAACCAAGGGGCAACCUCCAGUCAUGAGAAAUGAAACUGAUGCUGAAGCACUAAAACUCGUACACCAGAAACCACAGACAAAACCCAUAUUUAGAGUCAAAAUAAAUACAUUUCCAGCCUGGCUAAAAAAGGCACUUGGUCUGAGAAGCUCAGGGAUACCAUGACACCAGCUGUACAGAGUGGCUUUUUUUGUUAUGCGCUUAUUUUGAAGACACUGAAGUAACAAGAUCAGCGAAUUGAAGGUAACCAUUUACAAAAAAAGGUUAAGGCCCGCCUCUGGUGAGUUGACCAUGUAAGGUUAAAACUACAUUUACACGUGCCCAGCUAUCUUCAUAAACUGACAUUUCACCCUCUCUGUUUACAAAAAAAAAAUGUAUGCACACUGCUACAACUACGUUUUCAGAAAAGUUUUCGUUUACACCAACCCGUGUGUAUAUGCCAUCAAGAGCAUGCCAAACCUGUAGGUGGCAGUGUAGCCAGAAGCUCAAGCCCAUGUAAGCCAAUCAGAAUCCUGCAUAGCAGCAGCAACAACAACAACGUCACUUCUUUCUUUUAGAAAAGAUGCAGAUGCAAGCAAAUAUAAAGAAACUGCACCUAAAUGCAACUUCUAUUCUGCAUGCAUCCAUGAUCACCAUAAAUUGUAAACAACGACGCAUGCAACCAAGUUUCUGGCGCACAAUCUGCUGUCGGCUACCCAAAUCUCUGUUUCUAAAAUGAAGGGCGCAAACGAUGGUUAAUGUCUCCAUUUUUAAAAAUAACCGGGUACGUAGAAACGGUGCCUAAGUCAGAAUUUUCAACAUGGUGAUUUUUGCUGAUAGGCUUCACAACUUUGCUUCAGAAACAGAUAAAUACGACCAACACUACUUCCAUGUAUCAUACAAUGUUUUCCAAGCCCAGCUUUUGAGAAACUGCAAUAAAAUGGUGAAACUAGAGGACUAUAAAGAACCAAGACCAAACAAGCUCAUGGACUUGGGUGUUAGUGAAGACACUUUAGAGGGAAGUGGUUCAGUCCUGAAAUCGAGAACACAUACUCCCCAUGUGAGGCAGUGAAACACUCUCCCUACAGUGCAGUUGGAGCAAAACAGAAAAAAAAAUGGUGAAAUAGACAGACUUUAAGAGGGAAAUGUGAGCCAACAGGUCUGUGGUGCGGUGAUUAACCCUUGUGCUUCUUGGUAAAAUGGUUCUGGGUUUGAAUCCCAGCUCGGGACUUUCCACCUGAGGUUAAUGUGUAAUGUUUUCCUCACCCUUCUGUCAGAGAUGUGUUUUUGGGCAAACAUGAAGAAAAAAAUACCUCAAAGGGCAAGCAGACGGUCCUGUGGUGCAGUGGUUAGUGCAGCCACCUUAAGUGAAAUGGUCCUUGGUUCAAAUCCAGGGCCGUGACAGUGUUAAGUAGAGGCAAGGUAAAAAAGAAAAAGGUAUAAGGCAGUGAAGAGUAAAAGAAGUAAGCAGGCGAUGAAAACAAAAAAGAAAAAAAGAGAACUCUCCACCCCAGAGAGGGCAGUAAGGAUAGACAUAUCGUGUCUGUGCUCCCUGAAUGUUCUGCACAUGUUCACGUUUUUUUUCAAGCAGUCCAUGUUUCCUGAACCCUGCUGGGCUGACAUUAAAGCUCAUUGCCUCCUACGGUGUGAAACAUUCAUUCAGACUCACAUCAUUGAAAUCUGAAGUCUGUUUCAUGAAGUUCCAGUUCUGCAGGUUGAUUAAAACUUGAUUCAAAUUGCUUCUGAAUGUGAUGUUUGAAGAUCAGUUGUUUUUAAUUUGUGGUUUGAUCAACUCGGUGUCUAUUUGCUUCCUUUCCUGAUGGCAACAUUAACUCUGACGGCGCUGCAGUUACGCUUUUCCCCAGGUAAUCAAAGUCGGAUAGAAAAGAUUAAAAGAGAUUGCUCAGGAAACGAUAUGAGAGGAAAAUGAUAAAUUGUCCCUGAACCCAAACAGGAAUCUGUCAGUAGUGGUUCUGUCAGGAGAGGGUUCAACAGAUUAGAGUUCAGGCGCUCUUGACUUCAGUCCAACCAGCAGAUCGAGUUCCCGCAGACGCAGGGAAACAGAUACAAAUGUGUUUGACAUUUUGUCAGUUAUUGAUUGGGGAUUACAACUGCAGGGCAGGAAAUAGAGUCUGUGAGGGGUCUGUGGUGGGAGGUGGAGGUGAGACCUUCACCACAGGAGCGAAUGAUGUCACAGGAUUUCACCCCACAGAGCAGGCUGCUGCACGCAAUUAUAGGCUGAUCAUGACAGAAGUGACUAAUUCUGAUCCACACGGGAAACCUCAUUUAUUCUUCUUAGUACAUGUGAAAGGGAUUCAGUCUUUAAAAAAUGCAUGGCAAUAACAUACGUUUUGAAAUAACAAUAAUUAACUUGGAUUAGCCAUAAACAAAGCAAGAUUAAGAUGUUUUGGUCUUGUUUUAAUAAGGAAUAUUCAAUAUUCAUCAGCCUCUAUGAAAUAAUUACAAUUAUCUGAAUUAUGAUAUCUGUACAUAUAAAGCAUAAUGAUAGAACACAUGGCAUUAUGUUACGCAAAGAGCCUGCAAUUAUUUGCAUGCAUCAAGUUUGCAGGGACAGAUAAAAAAUGUAUAUUUAACACCGAAUGUAUAUAUUAUUUUAUCAUUCAAUGCUGAGAUCAGACUACAUAAUACCAUCGUGGUUGUGGCCUCAUCCAGCAAGCAUAUAUUCAACUUUAGGGACCUGCUGUACCCAGAAAAUAUAGUUCUAUCAUGUAAUGUGUCCAUACCUUAACUAAGAGUCCAGCAUGUUUGAUUUUUCACUUCUGCUUUCGACAAUGUGCUGCGAUCAUAGACCCCAUAACUCGAACAAAGUAUAGUGUCAUAAAGCUUCCCCAGGUGUUAACAGAGAGGAAAGAGACUUAUCAAACUCAAAUCGGGUUUCUGUCAGUGUAGACCUUUCUUUAUAUGCUAAUUUGUGUUCAACUGGUCAUUUUGCAGACUGGUUUCUUUUUAGGGGCCAUGUCCCAGAGAUGAGGACUUGAGUUUGAGACUUGAACUCCAGUUGCACUUCAGUUGCGCAUGAAUGUGACUUCAGGCUUGAUUCAAACUUGACCCUCUUUGGACUUUAGACCCGAUUGGGACUCAUGGACUUAUUUGCAUCUUGUUUCAGUGACAUCAGGUCAUUAUCAUUCCCUCUUUUCACACAUUAAAUACAGCUCCUGGUUUGAGAGCGGCCGCGUCAUUUCACCCACUGAGACCAUAGCUACUAACCCCCAAUUUCCACCGCCUACUUAACUGCCCGGAUAUCGCCCUACUCCGCAGCUGAUCGCAGGAGUUCUAUUUUUUCCGGACGCAGGAGCAUGCUGGAUAAAUUCAGCAUCGAGUAACCUGUGCUGGAAAGGAAGUCAGGCACAAACACAAAAUAAAACAUCCGGCUUAUUUUCAAAAUAAAACUUUGUGUUUCAGCCAGAUUGUAUUUCACACCAUGCAAAUGGGCGGAGACGAACAAGUGAAGGUUUAAAGACAGCAUCCCGAUGACACCAUGGAUGAGAGGAUGCUGAUUUUAUAAGUCUAAAAGUAGAUUUCCUCCUUUGGAAGGGCACAAUCUAUUUUUCAUACGGUUAGCAUAUGUGGCUAAGAGACAACUCGUUAUCGAGUGAUUGCACAUGAAUCCACGGGUUCUUGUGAGUUCUCGUUAUUACUGCUGUCCAUAAUCCGCAGCGAAAUUCGUCUCACAAACUGAUCCAGUAGGAACUGGUUUAUGGGAAAAAUCGCUUCCGUUCCCGAUCGGAGCUGUUCCGGAUGCUGUGGAAAUCCAGGAUAAGGUUGCUCAAGCAGAAGCACUGUACAGUUUAAUUAAUUUUUCAUCUGUUUGAGACCACUAUCCAGGGUCAAUAAUCACUGUUGGCUCCUCCUCCUUCAUUUGUUGUAAACAGCACUUGCUGAGAGACACAGUAAGUCCCUCCUUUUUAAUGUAGACUGAUGUUCAACAUUUUAAACACAAACCUUCUCAUGGUGCUGUUUUGCACAGCUGGUUGCUGUUGCUUUCACACUAUGGUUGGCUAUUUGCCCUAUCAUAGAUGUGACAUAUUUUGCUAUCAGCCUAUCAACUAUCUGCGACUAAAAGCGUUGUGUGCUGCUCUCUUGAAAUCCUAGAAAAGGCAGGGUUUCCCCGAGGAUAACCUGCAUUUUUUAUCAACACUUCUGUCUGACAGUUAAUCCAACAAGGCUGAUGUCUUUGAACUCAUCACAAGCGGAAAAAAAUGGUUUGACUUUUUUCAGUUCAGGAUGACAUUUAACUUAAAGCUCCAGUGACGAUUUUUAACUCAUCAUGAAACAGACUGGAAAUGAAUACUGACACCUUUUAUGACCUCCGGAAGCAAACAAGGCCAUCAGUGAGAAGAUUAAUAAUUUCUGUACAUGAAUCUUCAAUGCUUGUAACCACUGCUGCAGGGUGGAUGUCAAACAAAAUGAGUAAUGGCACAUUGAGGAAACAGUCUGUUUUAAUUUUGUAUGGCAGAUAUUAAUAGUGACAGCUGAUGAGACCUUUUUAUGAUAUAAUCUACAAUUAUGUGUACAGGGCAAAAUCAACAAAGACAUUUAAAAGCAUCACUUUGUCCUUAGGGGGCGCAAAAGCAAACAUUCCUCCACAAACUGCUUUUCAUGCAAGCUUUGACUCUGGUUUAUAUUGUUCAUAUCAUAGAUUUAAAGUAUAAUUAAUCCGAAUUGAAGAUUUCACAGCCCUCAUUUUAUUAAACCACUUGUUGCAGAUCAGACCUCAAACUUGAUGCAAAAUGAACAUCUGACGAUCAACUUUGUGUCUUUGAUAUUGUAUUACUCAUAAGAAAAGAUUUGACCCAUCAGCUGUGGAGACGAUGAUGACAAAUCCUGAAAAUGUGUGUUUGUACUUUAGGGUGUUGAUAGCAUCUGUGCAAAAUCAGUUUUAUUCACAUUAUUUACUGUGAAAGAACUUGCAGACACUGUAGUGAAUAAAAAUCUGUGAGUCACAAUUCUGCAUAUAUUACUCAGUGUGUUUGUAUAAAUUAAACCAAACUACAAAUAAUUUAUCACACUAUAAAUGUGAUUUUUUUUAAACAACAUUUUUGCACAGCACAUUAAUAAACCAGAGAACGGGCACUGUGCACAAGCUCAUUACACAAUGUGUGCUGCCAGAACAAACUAAAGUAUUCCUUAAUGUGCGGGGGAACUGCAUCUUAUUUCCAUUAACUACAGUACAGUAUAUUCAGGGAAAAAGAUCAUGAAUAACUAGGUAUAAUGAGGACUAUAUGAGUUUAUGUAAAACAUAUGAUAAUGAGUUAGGGCUGAGCACUCAAGGGGGGAAGAACAGGAAAAGGGAGUAGGACAAACAAGAGAUACGAUGGUUUCAUAUUUAGUCCCAGGACACAGAAUCUGUGUUAAUCUUUUCUUACUAACAUCUUUGGUGAGACCCUCAAGUUGACAGAGUGACUCAACCAGAGAUUCACCCAGACCUCCGACUUUUUCAAUUAGUUAGUUUGAAGGUCAGAGCCAGAGUUAUUACUCUUCCUAACAGAUGCCAUUACAGCCUGUUUGAAUGAACAUGUCAUUAAACAGUCUGAUACUCUUUAUGGAAAUCAUGAUAUUUAAUAUUCAAAACGAUAAACUGUAUUGUCUUUAGCAAAUAUUCACUCAGUUUGAAUCUGAGGACAUGAAUUAUUAAAGCUUUAGAGUUGAAUUCUUUUCCAUUCUUGCUUGAUGCACCACUUCAGUUGUCCAACAGUCCGGGGUCUCCAUUGUGGUAUUUUGUGCUUUGUAAUCCUCCACACAUCUUCAGUGGGAAACAGGUCUGGACUGCUGGCAGGCUGGUCUAGUUGCUGCACUCUUUUCCUAUGAAGACACGCUAUUGUGACAUAUGCUGAAUGUGUCUUGGCAUUGCCUUGGUGAAAUAAGCAAGGACAUCCCUUGUCACGUGGAACAAUGACAAUACAGAGGAAAACACAGGCAUAGUCGUAAAAAUGCAGUAAUGGUGAUAGGAGAAGAAAAUGCCAACAAGGCAAGAGUUCUUACUCAAAAAAUUUAACAAGUGUGUGCGUUUGUGUGUGUGUGGCUCCGUGCGUUGCCUGCAGUCAGUGAAAAUGUCACUCCGUCACUUCGUCAACCCCCUCUAGGAGGUUGUUGAUGUGGAGCAACCUUGAAAGGUAAUCAGAAACCACAUUAGCCUUCCAUGAUUGGUGUGGCGAGGAGGAACACAGGUGGGCAGGUAACUGGGUUUCUCAGGUCCUUGCUGGUGAGUGGGGCUGCAAUGGUCAAAAACUGCGGCACAAACCUCCUGUACCAGCCAACCAACCUGAAGGAUUGUACCUCAUUUUGAGUGCAAGGUUGAGGACAGUUUUGGAUAGCUUCCACCCUGUCCACUUGUGGUCGCACCUCUGCCUGGCCCAGUUGGUACCUCACGGAUCUUGUCUCUUGCCCACUCAUACUUGCAAAGGUUGAGGGUCAGCCCAGCUGCUGGAUUUUUCCAAAGACUAAUGCCAGGUGUUGGUGUUGCUGAAGACCACCACAUCAUCUAGGUAUGCAGCACUGCAAACAGCAGGAAUGGCAGCCAGUGAUCUCAAUCCAUCCCUGUGCCAUUCACAAACUUACAGAGCAUCCACUUCAAGGUCUGGUUAAACCUCUCUACCAGGACUCAGUCUGUGGGUGGUAAGGAGUGGUCCUGAUUGCUCUGCCAUCUACAGGAGCUGCAUCAACCUGGAGGUAAAGUUGGUUCUUUGGUCUGUGAGGAUCUUGUCUGGUACCCCCACCCUGGAGAAGAGCUGUACCAUGGCACGCACCACAGCAGGCACAGUGAUGGUACAUUGGGGAAAAGCCUCAGGGAAGCGGGUAGCAUAGUCAUCAUACAUGAUAACUCCUGAUGACCACCACUACUUCUCACCAGGAGCCGAACAAUGUUCAUGGCAACUCUGCGGAAAGGUGUGGAAAUGACAGGAGGGCGACAGAUAACCUUACUGACAUCAAAUUAAAAAAUAAAUGGAUAUUUGUCGUUACAAACCAAGUUUAUGAGUUUAAACAUUGAAUAUCUUUUUAUACAUUCAACUGAGUAUUGGUGGAGAUUUUAUUUUUUGAAAUUGGGGUUUGUAUUUUUGUUAAAACCAGUGAUUUAUUGGGCUAGGAUAUAUAUUUUGUGUUUUUGUUUAGUGUAAGACAUUUGUAUACUCUACCAAAGUAAUUAACUGAUAAUUUAGAGGUCUAUCUAGAUGGUUUGUUUUGAACAUAUUUCUGCAUAAUCCUUUCUAUUCCUUGGGGGAAAUGACACUAACUUCUAAGCAAUGUACCUUACAUCUACAAAUAUGGCUUUUUCGUUAAGGAAGAUUUCACCAGUUUCUGUUUGGCUGUGGUGCGGUAAAUAGCUAUAAAAAAAUCACAUCAGGUGUAUAGCUUGAGUUAACUCUGAAGUUAUCAAUUGGGUGUGAAUUUUAAAUGCCCUGAGAUGCCACAAAUAUGAGGCAUUUAGGGAAAGAAUUAUGGACCUUACCGAUUUCUCAAUCGCUGUGGAGGCUCUGGUUAAAUCUUACAUUAACACUUAAUGAUCACUCAGCUCUGAUUUAAGGCUUAGAUCUUUGCCUCAAAACUUGCCUGGGAACGGUCAGUAUCCAUGCACUCAGCAGCAGUGGUGUUUCAAGCAGCAGCAGCAGCAGAUACUCAUUUGUUAUCUCACAUGAACAGGUAACCUCUGCCCUAUUUGGUUUAAUCUGCAUGAACCACGAGAUAGAGACAAGAAUCUUUUCAUCUCAGCAGAAAAUGGACAGCUUCAUAUUUCCAGCAUCUUAUCAUAGAAGACAUGGACAGAGUAAUAAGAAAAAAAAGGGGUUUGGGGCUGAAACAGAAACAGAAAACUCUCCAGGGAGACAUUUUCUCCACCAAUGCCAAGAGCCGGGAAGCAGGCGUUCCUUCACAGCUGGAAAGAAGCAUAAUUGGUCAUUUUCACAAUCAUUUUAAUUAUUAAACAUGAUUUCCGCCCCAAAAGAGAUAAUAUCAGCCUCUUAAAGACAAGAGUGAAAUCCAAUUUUCCCCCGGUCCACAGGGAGAGGGAGGAUAAGCCAAGAUGCACACAUUGUUAUUAAAAGUCGAGCUGGCCUCAUUUCGGCUCACGCUGAACUCGGGGAUGGCAGAGAUGCACACUGUUACGGCCUUGUUGUCGUUUGUCAUUGGCAGCGCUCUCAGGGGGAAAUUGGGUUGAGAGGACCUCUGCUUUAUAGUCACAUCCAUCGCUGCAGUCAUUGUUAUGGGGCUUCACUGUUGCAUUGUAUUGUUUUUCUGUCAACAGAAAAAUAUCAAGUAUUUCUGUUUUUCUCACAGAUGUAGUUUUCUUUUCUUUUCUGUCUAUGAAAAAUACUCAAUAGCGGGGGAGAAAAACCUGCUCCUGCAGUACUUUUUAAUGGGGAAUUCUGCUACUUUAACACCAUGAUCAUAUGAGGGUCACAAAGGACCCCAAAAAGUUUCAUGGUCAAAAUAACAGUGAGGUGAAAAUCUAACAUUGUGAUGGCCCUAAUCCUGACACAAAUCAUCUCAGACACUUAGCUUUAAACACUUUAACAAAGCUAACUUUUAUGUUUAUGGUGUCAUUUUAAAAUAAAGGUACAUCUGAGCACUUUCUUCCUCUAGGAACACACUUUUGUGUAGCAGAGCCUUGACAGGCCUGGCUGCAUGUGAGGACAGACUCCCUGUAGCAGAUGGGUAAUGUUCAUUAUUGUUGGUGUUUGAAAUAGCAGGGAUCAUUAAUUACUCUGAGAGGUCCCUCUGCAGCUCCCCCAGUGGAUCCAUCACAAAUACACUGAGUUUAACCUGGGCCAGACUCUAUUCCCUCAUCACUAUUACCAUUAUGUUAGUCACGUCUGAUGGAGCUGAGCCUGAAAUCAGACUGAGCAUAAUGAGUGAUUUAAGCCCUUCACCUGUCAGACUGUCACUGUUGUAAUUGUUUAUCUGCACAAGUGACGCAUAGUUGUAUUAAACAGUGUGUGCAGCAGUCUUAACACAUGACUAAUCAGCUUGAUUUAAAGCACAAGAUGCCAAAAAAUGAAGACCGUGGUACAUCUUUGGCUUUGUUUAAGAUUUUCAACCUGACAAAAACAGGAAGAAAGGAUUGCCUCAGUUCUUAAAAAAAAAAAGUGAAAACAAGCAACUUUUUUUUUUUUUUCCUUUUCAUUUUAUUAAACUAGUGGUCAAAUUAUUUUGGAGUAUUUGGGCCACAUUAAGAGAAAAAUAAAUAAGACUACGUAAUUAUUUAGGAGAAUAAAGUCGUAUUAAAGUAAUUACUUACGAGAAUAAUGUUGUAAUAAAAUCAUUACUUACAAGAAUAAAUUUGUAAUAAAAUCAUUACUUACCAGAAUAAAGUCAUAAUAAAAUCAUUUAUUAUGAGAAUAAAGUCGUAGCUAAUAGCUAUUCUAACCUGUUAGCUGUUGAAAUGAGCACUGUGAAGCAUUUAGAUAAAUUGAACUUCAGUAGCUAGGUCUCACAAACAAGGAGAUAAAUUCUUUGGCGUUUCAGCAUCACAUUGUCCCAAGUAUCAGGACAUAUGCAAGAAAUGCAUCUUUUCUGCAGAAAGAACCAGGCGGACUUGUAGGGAAUCGCUGUUUUUGGCUGGAAAUGGGUGUUCAGAGGCUAAGUCCCUCAAUGCAGCUGUUUAUAGCAAUAGCAUAUGGCUUUAGUUUAUCGUAUGAAUCGAUAUGCCAUAAGGUGUUGGUGCCUCUGCAGGUGUAGGUUGCUGUAGGUGUUGUGCCAGCAUCAGAGACAGACAUGGUGCUCAUCGGAGCUCGACUCCCUCUGAAUCGCAAAUGUUGAUCAUCAGUUGGAUUAUUUCUUGAGAAACCACAAAAUCCCUCUGAGUGGCCCACUGAUGCACCCAAUAUGUGCUAACUGCUCUCCAUGACUGUAAAAAAAGCUGAUAUUUUUACCUUUCAUACCUUGCACUGUCUAAGCUGAUUUGUUGCUGUUUCCUGUUUCAUUUUUUGUUAUUUUGCUUUUAAACUGCACUUAAUGCUUGCAACCUUGUCCCACAGCAUUUGUGUGUCCUCAUACAGCGCAGCUUGAUUGACAGAUGCUCAACCAUCAGUCAUAGUUAAACUCUCACCUUUCCUGACACACACUCUGUCAUUUGAUCUGCUCAUCCUGACUCCAAUGCUCUCCAUUCAUACACUUCUAUUUGCAGAUCAUUAUGCAAAACAGUGUGUGUUUAUCCGCCGACGUGGCAGCGAGCUGUUCAUAAACAGGCAGUCACCUAUACUGAGGACAAAUCCAAUCUUGGCCCCGCACAACAUAUCAGUGAUUUUAAAUGGAGAAUUAUGUGCAACCAAGAGUUAUCUAUGAGUCAAUUUGUUCAGGCAAACGUGUUUAAAGUUAAGAUUUCAGUUUGCCAAAAUUAAACCAACAGAUAAGGGCUUCCCUCUAUGAGGGGAAAUGUUUAGCUGGCAGGCUGCUGUGAGUGCUUGUUAUAUGAUAGGGCGUCACAUUGCCUCUUGUUGCAUCAUUGUUGCCUCUCAGUGCUCUCAUCAGACACUAAUCCAUAGAUCAAUAGAGUGUGAUGAGCCUGCUAAUUAGCCCCGUCCAAUAUUUGAACUCAGAGUAACAACAGAGACGACAGUGUGACACACAUACAAAGCGGUUAUUCGUCUGCAUGGCUGCAUCCUGUUACAGCUCUUUUUGAAUACUUUGUGUGAUGCAGCUUUUUUUAAAUUUUUUUUUUAUGAGUAUAAAAAUGUUUUGUUUCUGAACUUUAACAUUUGCUGAUAAAAACAUAAACAGUGAGUUCACUCGUGUGUCCCAAUCAGAUAAUUGGCUGUAAUGAUGCAUGAAAACAUUUUAGCAAUUCAAGCAGCAAUUACAUGGUUCAAGCAUUCAUGACACAAGCGUACACUCCCAGACACAAACACCAUGGAUGUCACAAAAAGAGCUGUCGGCUGCUAAUGUUCUGCAAAUUUUACAUUAACUGUUAUACAUACUCUACAUUACAAGAUACAUAUAACCAACACCCUUCCCUGUUCAUAAUUUUAUUCACUUGUCUCAUUUUAUAAUGUAUACUAUAGUUAGACGUGGAAAAAACACACAACUAUUUCAAACACCAACAUUUAUUUGACACUUACUGAUUAAAGUGAUUUACUACCUUGAUUUCGAAAACCUAAGCUGCAAAGCACUGGCAUUAAUUUAUCAUAUCUUCCUUGGAUAUCUUGUUCGACAGCAUAUUCCUGACUAUUUGUGCAAAGAUCCCUCAAAUCCCAAAGAAACAGCAUACUCUCAGCUUCUUCUGCAAAAAUCUUAGCAAACAGCAUGCUCUCAGCUUUUACUGUGCAGAUCUCUGAAUGCAACAUGCUCUCAACUUCUUCCUGCAAAGAUCUCAGCAAACACCAUGAGCUGAUCUUCUCCUGCAAAGAUCCCAUACAACAAUUUGCUCUCAGCCUCUUUUGCAAAGAUCUCGGCAAACAACAUACUCCCAGCUUCUCCUGCAAAAAUCUCAUCAAACAGCAUGCUCUUAGCUUUUACAAUAAACAUCUCAGAAAAUAACAUUCUCUGCGCUUCUCCUGCAAAGAUUUCAGCAACCAGCAUGCUUUAAAGUUCUCUGGCAAAGAUCUAUGCAAACAACACGCUCUCAGCUUCUCCUGCAAAGAUUUCAGCAAACAACAUGCUCUCAGCUUCUCCUGCAAAGAUUUCAUCAAACAACAUGCUCUCAGCUUCUCCUGCAAAGAUCUCAGCAAACAACAUGCUCUCAGCUUCUCUUGCAAGGAUCUCAUCAGACAGCAUGCUCUUAGCUUCUCCCGCAAAGAUCUCAGCAAACAGCAUCCUUAAAGGUUCUCCUGCAAAAAUCCCAUAAAACAGGAUGCCCUCAGCUUCUCCUGCAAUGAUCUUCUCUUAAAGGGCAUGCUUUAAGGUUCUCCUGCAAAGAUCUUGGCAAAAAGCAUGCUCUUAGCUCCUCCUGCAAAGAUCUUCUUUUGAAGGGCAUGGUCUUAGCUUCUUUUGCAAAGAUCUCAGCAAACAACAUGCUGGCAGCUCCUCCAGCAAAGACCCAUUCAAAUUACAUGCUCUCAGCUUCCCUUGCAAAGAUCUCAGCAAAAAACAUACUCACCAGGGGUGGGAAUCACUUGUGGCCCCAUGAUAUGAUAUUAUCACAAUACUUGGGCCGUGAUAUGAUAUCAUUGCAAUUUUAACAUUUUGCAAUACAGUGAGUAUUGCGAUACUAUAUAUUUAUAUUUAUACCAUUUUUUAAAACUGUUUAGCUAAUUUAGCAUUUGGCUGUUCUUUAUGUUUGUCUUUUUGGACUUGAAUCUUAAUAUUAAGGAACAGAUCUACUGUGAUGCAGAGUGGCAGUAAACUGUGGGAGGAACACAGGUGAGCAAGUCUAUUUAAAGAGAGGGGGAGGAGAUAAACCAGCUGUAUUUGGAAAGGUAAUAUUCCUCCUUUAAUGGUGUCUCUAUCCCUGAGGGGACUAUUAUUGUAUUUUUUAACAUAAUGUGAGCAGCUGAUGUGCAACACAUGUCAGCUGUGUAAAUUACAUGGAAAUACAACAACCUGUGACCUCUGGCACUCUUGGAUUUACAGGGGAGUCUUUAAUUUACAGCCAUAGGACAGAUCCCGUCAGGCUGAAAAUCACUGAUGGCCUUCAGGACUGACAAACUGCCAAAUGUUUACAGGUAAUACUAAUCCUGUACAACCUGGGCUACAGCUGCCACAGAAGAGUCUGAAAAUUGUGUAUUUGUGAGUACCUGUGUGAGUGUGGCGGAAUGAAUUUUAAUGAGAUUACUUCCCUCACCUUCCAGGAUGAUGUUUUUAAAAUUCAUGUGGUGAUGCAGGACUGAGUGCUGAUACUGUAAGUCAUAAACUUGAGGAGACUUAAUCCCACCUGCUGGCCGAUCUCUGUGAGCUUCUCAUUAUAAAGAAUCAAAGAUUAGAAACAAGCACUGCCUCUGUGCCGCUCGCCACACUCUUUUCCAUCCUCUCUGAAUAACAGCUAUUGAUCCUCUUAUUUCUUCUGCUCAGUGAUCUUAAUCACCUGAUCCCCCUGUGUCUCUCUGUCCACUACAGCUGCACCUCCUGAAGGGCUCACUGCUCAUUUUAUACCACUUUUAUCAUAUAAUGGCAGUGUUAGUCUUUUUUUUCCUUACUUUUUAACGAGCCUUUUCCUGUUGAACUGUGGUUAUUAAACAAAGGUCUCAUUUCAGACACUUCCUGUUUCUGUAAGGCUCUCUGCACCUCCAUCUCAUAUACACACAUAAGCCCUCUGACCCCCCCAUGUGAAAACACUGCAGCAAAUCUUCCAGAUAACUCCCUGCGAGUGGCAGUGGGGGGGAGCUGGCAGGGAGUGUCGAUGUUUACCAGGCAGCGGGUGUUCGGUCUAGUUUUGCUACAAGGUUGAAAAAUGCUGCUGUAGCACAAAUCUAUAACAGAGGGAGUCUGUUUAUAAAUGUUUUUAUAUCAUAGUGAUGGGAAGAACCGUUCCUUUUAAAGCGUUUCGGAGCCCUGUCCUGCCGGUGCGGUACACGAGUGAGCGACACAGUGGCGCUGAUCAGGAUGUCUUUCAUUGGACAAGUCCCUCCCCUGCUGCUGAAGUCACAGUGUCGUUCACUGGGUGACACAUGUGGUUCAUUCGCCAAUUUGUAAAAGAAGAAUCACUCCCCUGCCCUGAAAUACUCACCUCUCUGUGUAUCGCCGAAGUUCGCAUCAACACAGCAGCAAGCAGCACGCCCACUAAACGAGCGCGAGUCCUCGUUCUUUUAUAUCGCAGAAAAGUGGAGCGAUUCAAAAUAAAUAACAAUGCAGCUGUAGCGGAGAUUCUGCUACUUUUAAAGAUAUGCUGAAAUUAAAUCCUUUUCGUUGGAAAGUUUAUAGACCUGUAUUAAUGGAAAGGCACUGUAAUGCACUGUUUUAUCUUAGCCUACGUUUAUCCUCACAGUGAAGGAACUGGUGCUCGGCAAUUCGUUAACGACACCAUGCCCCUCUGCCUGUCUCAAGUUGUUCGGAAGUCGUCCAUUUCGUUUACAGUCUGACCGAUCAGUUCCACUCCUGACUGGCACACCAGCCUUGUUGCUGAGCUCACCUAAACUGAGAAAGGAACGAAUCAGGUCUCAGAGUGAUUCAGUUCACGUUGUUCAUUUAGCAGUUCCGUUCUUUUGAAAGAAACAUCCACAAAUUACAUAACACUAUUAUAUCGUGAAUUGAGAUAAGCGUGAGAGGAAGUCACAGUUUGGUACACUAAUAUGAAACUUCUGAUUAAGAAUUUUGGGAGAGUUGAAUCUCAGGUUAUAUACCACAAUAAUCUGACCACCGUGCAGACAGAGCCUAUUAGCUAACACGAGAAGACCCAUUCACCUUCUUAUAUAUAACUGUUGAUUAAAACUUUCAAUUUAACUUGAAUAAUAACAGUUAAGUGGACUAGUUCAGUCCUGUCCUUAUAUGGGCAUGCAAUGUCUUAAUAUGACAAUUAAUUUAAAUGUUUAGAUUGUUGUUUGUGAUGAAAGACAGUGAGGAUAUUAUCCACAGCCAGUCAUGUUACCAACUGUAGUUUUAGCAGGACUGUUUUUUUAUUUGUACAAAUAUGAGUUUUGAGGAAAUUAAAUAUUUAAAUAAAUAUUUUGACACCAUUUUUUUAAAGUUAUUAGUUGACACAGUUAACAUUAGCAUUUGGUUCGUCCUAGUUAGGAAUUAUGUUUAAAACCCCCAGAUGAGAUGGGAAAAGAGAAACAUUUGCAUAAGCAGAAUUAUCAUUAUACUUUUUUUUUUUAAAUCCAAAGUGGUGUACAUUUGAGAGUAAGUGCAACACAAAGAAAGCUCUAGAUGAAAUGAAACAGCAUGAGUAAGUGCCACAAACUGCUAACAAUGUAAUUAGACGCUGUGCUAUCAUACAGUGCUAAAGGCAAUGUAAUCUUUUUGUCAUAACGUAUCAUUAUCACCCCAUCAGCAAUAACGAAAAAGAUCAGCCAUUUAAAGUCAGAAUACCACUGUCAUCAUCGUCUUCAGCAGUGCGUCAUCAGUGCGAUGGUACAGCACAGCACACCACAACCAAGUGCCAAGCUACUAAGUGGUGAGUUGCUAUACGCAGAGAGUUAUCCCUGAGAUUUUCGAAUGUGUUCUCACAUCAUUUCACUUGGAUUUUACCCGGAAAUGACACCACAGGGUUAAAGGAAAAAAUUCUGCAUUUAGUUGGGGUGAAAAACUCACUUCCAGGAAAUUUCUAGGAACUAUGUGCAUGUGUUAAAGGGGCUACUGUCACUCAAGGUUCAAACUGUCAAUAAUUAGGAGUGCAAGUGCAAAAAUUAAGCUGAUAAUUGGAUAGAUGGUGCCGCUCAGACUAAAAGAUGAAGGGAAGUGAAAAGUUUUAUGACAACAAACAAUAAAAGAGAUUUAUAAAUGUAUCAGCACUGAAAGAGUAGAAAUCAGAGGCAGCAAUGCAGAUGUAUGUGACGUCAUUUAAAUGAGAAAAAACAAAGGAUGAUAUCAUUUUUAUGCUUUAUAUGGUCUAUGGUUUGAACUACUGGAUGUUCAGUGGCACUGUAAUGUUUUGUCCAUAUUUGCAGAAGACUUGCAGGAACAAACAGCAAUCUAUGAAUUUACAAGUACCUGACAAGCCAUCAAGUAUGUUCUCUGAACUUCAAAUUUUUCCAGAUUUUUCUCCAGAUUUUUAAAUAGUCUGUGUUUGUUGUUGAUUAUAAAUCAUUGAGCUCUGAAAUGACCACAGAGCAUCAGAUUACUAACGUUUGCACGACUUAUGCCCUAAAUCAUGACUGAAUAAAAUUAGUGAUGGAGGCUGUGGGAAUGUGAUCCAUUCAUAACUGUUAAGAAACAGAUUAAGACUGUAAAAUGAUAUCACCCUCUUAAUUUUCAUGCAUAGUAAGGCCUCUUGGACAUUAAGUUUGUUUUAAGAGAUCUUAUUUUUCUCCUCAGACCCCAUAAGGUGUCAACACUAACCAUCUUUCCCUUGUAUCACAGUGAAAGUCUUUAAUGGAUUGGGUCUCAGCUCUUAUAUCUUAUGAAUCCUGGCAUGCACGAGUGAGGUUGUAAACAGUUUUAUGGCUGUAUCUCUUUGAUUAGUGUUUUGAUUCUUGUCUCUCUCAUAAAGAGAAAGAGGGAGGGUGGAUUUCAUCACACCCACAUCCUCUGCGAAGAACACUCAUCACUCAUUAAAAUCAAAAACACUGCCAUCAUGUAGACUGCUACUUGUCACUCUCUUCAUUAGAGUGCUAAGAGCACAGAUGGGGAGCUUCAUGACGAGCUACUAUGGCAAAAACUGAUAUCCCGUCACCACGGCGAGCUGCGAGGAAGUAUUUAUCUGCAGAGAAGAGCUCCAUGGAGGGCACCAUUACCGCCGCACACUUGAUUGUUUCGGUGUUUCCUCUCCUGCUGACUCCAACAGGUCGCCAUCCACGUCUUGAUUUUAUGACCCAAGUUCCUGCUAAGUCAUCUGUAGUGGCUCCUCCAAUCACAGGGGGAGAUUGGACAGCUUGAUAUUGACUCUGUAAUCAGAUUGCAACCCUCUUAUGUUCAAGAGCCCCAGGAGUCCCAACCUAAUGUUCCUGAGUUUACUCCUACCCCCCAAAACACUCCUCUGAUUAAAAAUCAGGGGCAGCAGCUACGUUCAUAUCAGACGAACAAGACAAGCAGGGUUUUUCUGAUGAACAUAACAUAGCAUAACAUCACAAGUAUCACUCGUAUAAUUGUGAAUAUUUUAUGCUGGAACCAUAAAAACAAGUGUUACUGAAGCUACUUGACUAACACCUACCUCCUCACACCCAAUUUCCACCGCUGUGGAUUUUUGCCGUCCGCCAAUUCCUACCAAUUCUUUUGUGAGGCAAAUUUCGUGGCAGAUUUCAGACAGUGGGAACUCACAAGAACCUGCGGAUUUACAUGCAAUCGCGCGAUAGCGAGUUGUCUCUAUAAAGACAGCUACCUAACCAUAUUAGCAGUAGAUUGUGUCCUUCCAGAGGAGGAAAUACACUUCUUGACGCCUACAAUCCGCACCCCCCCCCAUCCAUGGUGUCAACGGGGUGAAAUAAAGUCUAAAAACCGUUGACUUGUUCGUCCCCGCCCAUGUUUGCAUGACGUGAAAUACCAUAGCCAGAUGUUUUAUUUUGUGUCCGUGCCCAACUUCCUUUCCAGUACGGGCUAAUCUGUGCUGAAUUUAUGCGGCAUGCUGUGGCGUCCAGAAAAAAUACAACCCUGGCAAAUUCAGUUGGACCACAGCGGGAUGGAAAGAACCCGGCGGAAAUUGACACAUUAACUCGAAUGGAAACAACCAGCUGUGAUCAGUGCCAACAGCCUUUUUGCCAGCCUUUUUUUCAGAAAUAUCCAAGGGAAAUGGAAAAUAAAUUUACACUUUAUCCACAAGAAUGGAUAAGUAGGCAAACAUUUUGUUAUAAAUAUCUACUCCAAAUCCAAAAAAGAUCAAAUUAAAAGUAAAAACAUAAUGUCCCUUUAGAGUCACUAAUCCACAGUCUAUUGUGGGAGUCCCUGAGCUCCAUCAUGCCCUAGGUUACUCUGGAUCGCUGCUUCAUCUACAAGCAUCAAUCUCAUCUCUAUCCAUCUCCCUGUCUCCGCAGCUCCCUCUGUCCACUCUAUAAACCAAAUGCCUUUCUUCUUUCGUAUUUAAUCAUAUUCUCAUCAAUUUUCAUGUUUAUUCAUAAAAUGUCAUUUUGUUCUUCCCUAAAGAUGGCCUUAUAUAAUAGGCCAAUCAAGUCUGUUUCAGAUUCAACCCCAAGCUACAAACCAUGAAGACCUCCAGUCUUCUAUGAAACACUUUUCAGAAAUUUAUGAGUAAAUAUUUGCAUUAAAAAUGUCUCCACCAUAUUAAUAGAUGACGAGACUAAAGACAUCUAAUAUUCAGUGUGUCUCCAAAGGUAAAAAAAAAAGAAAAAAAAAAAAGGUAAGACCAGAAAACAUCGAGGGCAUGUAGAGCUGUUAAAUGGUGUUUGUACUUGGGUGCAGGGACAAUUAAAAUAAGGUAAUUUACCCUAAAAUAACCGGCUGUACCAAAUGUAACGUAAAUGAUUGAUAUGAAGUAAUCAUGCUGUGUAUGCAGAGCAUAUUUUCUUUCGUGAUCCCACUCGAGGAAUGUCAGGAGUCGGGCCAAGUCCCAGCUGUUUGCCUCUACAUCUCUUUGGCUGCUUUAGCUCUGGAGAGUGGCCUAGUUGGCAGCUCUUCACAGGAGGAACCAGGAUCCAGAGAUCUGACCCAGCAUGCCUUUUCCCCUACAUUUAUUUUAAAGGCCAUUCCAUCAUUUGAAGUGAACACUAAAUACAGAUGUGGCUCUUAAGAUCGCCUUCAAAGCUGGAUGGUGUAACUGAGUGCCAUGCAAGGUGAAUCUGGAUGAUCCAGGGCAGAACAUUUUGACUCCACUGCUGGGUUUUGGUUUGUUUGUGAACCAAAUGGUUUCCAAAGACCUGUUACAAAGUCCAAUCAUGGAGGACCAGCUACCCAGGCUGUCCUGUAUGGGGCAUCAGCCCACAGAAAGUUGUGAUUGGUGAAAAGCUGUCUCUAGCAUCAUUUUGAAGACCGUUUUGUGAGCUCUUCGUAGUCCCCCCUUGGUAUCAUAAUGUUGUUGCCACUUACCUGGGAUCACAAGGGUGGAAGUCUAGAAAGUCAACCCAGAACCUUCUUAUCCAGUCUGGUAAAGGGCCUACAUUUCUCCUGAAGGCACCAAGUCUAUUAAUCUCAUGAUAGUUGUUGCCCUCACUCAUAAACAAGACCCCCAGACACUUGAACCACACCAACUGAAGCAAAGCCAUGCUCCCCACCCGGCAUUCCACCAUUGUCCAGAGAGCCAUGGCUUUGGAUUUGGGAGUAGCUGGCUCUCUACCCAGCCCCUUUGAUCAUUUUUUAAAAAAUACCUAAACCAAGUCUGAAUUAUUAAUGUCAUCCAUUUUGAUUAUUAUUAUUUUGAACAAUUCUGAAUCAAAGAUUUGAUCCAACAUGCUAGAUUGAAUUUGAAGAGAUUACUUGCUCUGGGAUGCAGGCUUAAGUUCCGGUAGAAAGCUUCCCAGGAGAGUUGUUGCAAUUGCUGCUUUUACAAGUGUCCAACUCCACAUUCAAACCCGCUGAAGUACUUAGAUGAAGAUGUCCGGCCGAAUGUGGGUGUGCUGGUGUGGUUAUGCAAUAACUUUGUAUGGCUAGUGGAUGACUCUGAAUAUUGGAAACAGCACAAAGACAGUCCAUAACACUGGCUCUGGGAAUAUGUAUGUUUCAGUUAUGUAUAUGCAGCUGAUUCCAACAGGACCAUCAUCUGUCUUCUUACCCAAAUGUAUGCUGCACAAGGCAGACUUCCAGAAAAGAAAAAAACAGGAAUGUGCUCAUGAAUUAUAGAAAGACAUGCAGGAAAUCGAAAGAAAAUGUAUAUACUAAAAGAGGGGAAGGUUAUUCUGGGUCACCCGCUGCACAUUGGAAAGGUAUGAUGGAGAUAUGUUGGUCUGCACAUGGAUGGUUGAGCGUCAUGGGGCUGAUGCUGAAAGUGCAGCAGACCAAGCUUUACAAGGAGUAUUAAAUUAUUUCUUCCUCCUCUCAUUCAUGCUUUAAAUUCUUCAGCCGAGGCAAUCUUUGGUUAAAUUUGCUUUCAAAUAAUCAAUUUUUGAUGUGGAUCACAAGUCCACAUUUGAACGCUUCUGUGAAUGGUUUUCAUUCAGAAUUUGAAUGCUGAAAUGAAGAAACCCCACUCCCUGAAAAGAAAUGUGGUUUUUGUGGUUCAGGUCCCAGCAUGUGGCAGAUGUAUUACAGACUUUUAAUCUUUAGUAUUGAUUGACAUUUUACUGAAAAGGUGCCUUAGAGAAAAUGUGUAUUUUUUUAACGAUAAAGGGAAUAAAUCUGGCAUCUUAGGGAGCUGAAAGCUUGUUCAAAGGUUUAUUGAUGUUAACUUUAAGAGUCAUCAGUUUUCCUUUCUUCUUUUUUUUUGUGUAUGUGCAUUCAGCAUCAUAGGACAGUGCUGUAAAAUAUCAUGUCUCUUCAAUCACAGUAGUUUAACUGCAGAGAAAUUAAAAUACAACUUCAAAUUAAAGCUACAAGUGGUGUUGAAAAGGCCCUCACACCUUGGCGUACACUCCAACCUAUUGCAACCAUGAGGUGUGGAGAUGUCAUCGGUAGUAAUAAAUGCAUACGUAGAUAUGAACAGUUUGAGAAAAGGUUAAAUAGUUGUGUAGUUCUAUAUUUAAGCAGUAGGUGGAGCUAAGGCUUACAAAACUGUUAGUUAGAAAUAAUCAUAAAAAUGCCUUUCAACGAAGAGUUCGAUAACAAUGCAUGGAUGAAUGAGAACCUACACAGAUAAAAAUGCCUUAGUUAAACAGUAAUCAGUUGGAGGUCAUUGUAAUUUUUCAAGGAGCGUUAAUUCCACUUUUAACCAACAGGUCGUGCUACUACUAUGACAAGAAAUACAGUAUGUACGUGGAUGAGUUCACAUUACAUCUCUCCACGAAAUCCUCCAGUGAGUCCAACUUGAGUCUAAUAAAAUGAUACUGGAAACCAAACAAGGAACUUCAGCCGUUGCCUGGGGUGGAAUGUAAACAAGUGUUGUGGGGAUAUUACUGACCUCCCUUGGAACAUAAUACAGCCAAAGAGCAACUAGCAACAGUUCAAGCAACUUCUCCUUAACAGUUAUUUGUGAAGAGUUACACCACCUCUGGUAAACAAACUAAAAGUCUAGAGUUCUUUUUGGGAUUACAGGGAGGUGACAAGAUUUGUGAAAUUAAAUUCGGGAGUACUUGGUGUUAGCACAUCCUCUCUAAAAACUGUUUUUUAGGACUGUGCGCUAAAUGCUCACUCGCACUUCCUACCUACCCAGCUAACGUAACAACUGUUGUACUUGUCUACACACAACAUUUUUUUUUCUGAUUCAUGAAAUGAUAAAUUAGGGACAUUUCUGGGGACAGCUUUGGCCAGGGAAAGGUCAUUCAAAGCAUGGAUUGUCCCCAGAAAUCAGGAACCUUCAGACUAUAUUUGGUAUAUUGUCUAGUAAGUUUCAUGUAUCGAUAUAGGCUGAAACUAGCUGAUUUUGUUAUAUUAAUCCAUUCUUUUAUUACUUAUUUGAAGGUUUUGGGGGAGUUGCAGAGUAAAUGAUAAAAACCUAUACAACAUCAAAAUAUUCUCUGAGCCUAGUGGGUGUGUGAAGUUUUGUCUAUGAGUGUAUAACAGUUAAAAUUGAACACACACUCAACAAGGAGAUUAGUGACUUUUUAAGGCUGGCGUCAGAGUUGUUUUUACAGUAUUGUCAUGAUUUCGGUCUUUGAAGUUGGCUCAUGCACAGACAGCAGCUAAUAUCGGAUUAUACAAAACUGCUGUUAACAGAUUAUCAUUUGCCACAGCUUUACAUAACAAAGAGCCUCUCUACAAAAGUGGGAACUAUUAAUGUCUGUAUCAUUAAUUACAGUUACAGUCUGUGUCAGGGGGAGUCACUAUUAAAGAGGCAGCGGUGACUGAUGGCUUACUGUGGUAUGCAAGGCUGCAGUAACCAUGGCCACCAGGUGGUGGUUAAUGCAAUUGUCUGCAUGAUGAAUCACCAUGGCUCCCUCCACUUGUCAUAUGACUCUGACAAACCAAUUAACCCAGUAAACCAGUUGGCUGUGUCUGCAUCCCUUUAUCAGGAUUAUAGGAGGUAAUGUAGUGGACAGUUAAGAGUGCAUUUCAAGUUAAAAGCCACCAUUAUGAGGAUGUUUUGAUAACUACACUUACAGUUGUGGUGGUGUACGAUGAAUAAUUAAAUAUAUCAAGGGCUUUUUCCAGCCUGCUGGGGUCUGCUGGUUUGUCAGGUGGACUGGUGUUUUAACUCUGUGAAGAAAGGGUGGACACAGUGGUACCUUAAAUGCACAUCGUUUUCAUUGACAGCAGGGGAUACCUCGGCUGGUUGAAGAAAGGAGUAGGAUUGUAUUACCUCAGUAAUAGUUUUUCUUACACCUUUCUGGUCUCAACUGUGAGUUAAAUGUUGUCUUGGAUGAAGGAUGUUUAUCCUCUUUUUUAUAAAGAGAAAAGAGACAAUGGCUAUUGAAGGGAUUUUAAAACCAACAACAUACAUUUUUAAUUCCAAACAGGCACAAUUCCACAUAAAAUGAAAAUAGCAAAAGUUACAUCUCAAUUUUUGCCACCACAAUUCUCUAAAAUACUUGAAAAACUCAUUAACAAAAAGGUCAGACAACUUCAUUGACAAAUGCAAAUUACUUUCAGAUAGUCAAUCUCAGUUUAGAACCAACAGAUUAACAUCAGAAGACCCAAUAGAACCAUUUGAAGAAAUAACAAAUUUAGUUUAGCAGUAUGUAGUUGGAGUAUUUGUUGGCCUGAAAAAAAAAAAAAAACAUUUGAUUCGAUAACCCAAACAUAUUCAUCAAUAAACUGGAGCAGAAAAAGAUGAGGGGUUGGAAUUAGAUUAGAUUAGGAGCUAUUUAAAUGGCAGAAAACAGUUUGUAAAACUUUGUGAUUUUUGCUCCCUGUGUUUAGACAUUAUGGGCCUGAUCUACAAAAGGUUUUUGUUUGCAAAAACACGUGCAAAUUUGGUAGCGCACGCAAACCUAAUCUACUAAUCAGGUGCACCAAGGAUUGCGUCUGUCAAAUGAGCAAAACAGCGCAAGCAAUCGAUUUAGCGUGUAUGCCUUCAUGAAUAUGCAGAAUGUAUGUAGAUCAUCAGAACGUGCAAAAUUCUGGGAGGAGCAGAUGCAAAUGAAAUCAUUUAGCACCCACAGUGUGAUCUAUCAAACUCAGAAACCGAUUGCAGUUGCUAUUUUGCGUCUAUAUUUAGCAAGUUUAAAAGGCACGUGCAAACUGGAGCAGCAUUAUGCACGGUUGCAAGUGCCAUGACAAACGCCAUGAUCCUUGUCCAAAAGCUUGUGAUUUAUUUCAUUUUUCCGGUAAUUGACAAUUUUCAUAACUAAUAAGGUCAAACACGAAACAGACGAAAACAUGUAUCUGUUUGUCUUACUGAUUUAAAAUCAUUUUUAAACCCUUUUCUGAUUUCUAGUAUAUCUUCUUGCAUCUGUUAAGCACUUUGAAUUGCCUUGUGUAUGAAUUGUGCUAUACAAAUAAACUUGCCUUGCCUCUUAUGCAGUUCCCCAAAACAAUAUAUGCAACUCCAUGGCUUCAAACACUUUGCUCUCACAAACUCUCCAUGGUGACAGCCGAUAGCGCACGCAAAAUCCCUGUUUAAAAAGGGCGGUCUGCAUCACUUGCGCUCACUAUUUUGGAUCUUAGUAGAUCAGGCCCUAAAUGUGGUGUCCCUUAGUUGUUAUCACAUGUAAUACAAUUAUUCUUAUUUGCUGAUGACAGGAGUAUUUCAUGUCUUAGGACUCUGCAAACUUUGAGAUAUAUAGGAAUCUACAGUGUUUUGAACCAUUGUUAUAUGUCUCAUAUUAUAACUGUAGGCACCAUUUAACCAUGAAAACUGUUUUUUAUUAUUUAAAUACAUAAUUUGCUGAAGUACUGACGAAGGUAUGUUAUUUUUCAAUUUGAGAAAAGUAUAUUAUUUUUUUAUUUUAAGAUGUUGAGUGUUCGCUAAUUUGUUUUUUUGUAUUAAGUGCCUGUUUGUUGCAGUCCUUAGCUGUUCCCAUGGUCAUGUGAUAAAGACUCAGGAAGUGAAGUGCAUAUAAGUUUUUUGAUGCUUUUCUCAGUAAAUGAGUGCAGCAGAGCGUCAGGUUGUUGUAUGCUGUAGGCCUUCAAGCCAACUCAACGAGUAAAACAUUUUUGUUGUCACUCAAGAGGAGUUAUAAAACAAGUACGUUUAGAAAUGCAACAUGUAAGAAAAAUAAGACAUUAGAUAGCCACUACAAUAACAGACCAUUAACUGGUUCGUACAUUGCUUUUCAACUAGCUACAUAUUAAUAUCCCUUUUGAUUUUAUUUAUCAAAGACUUUCUGGUUGAGCCUGUGAAGCUCAAAGAUCAAAUGUAAAGCCAGAGAUAAAAGAUCAAAUGAGAAUUAAAUCUGGGGCCAAAAAUUAAGAGUUUGUUUUUCUUAUGAUGCUCAUUUGACAACACUUUUUUAUAAAACCCAAAACCCUCAGAAAUAAUCACAGCUCCUUCAGAAAAAUCCAGAAGAAAGACACAGAUAAAGUUAGAGCUAAUCCAGAUUCCAUUCAACUGACUUUAGAUGUGCAGCAGGGAAUCUCCACCAUUGACUCUUGGAUUUUGUCAAAAGCAGAGGACAUUUUAAAAAUUUUAGAGCUUUGUCAGCCACACUGCCAUACGCACAGCCAUUUUAAAACCUCAUAUUCCACACACACACAAAUCCCUCAACGCUUUUCUUAGCCCUCCAACUUAAGUUCUGCAACUAUAAAACUGUCAAAGCAGACACUAUUGUUGUUCCUCAGCCUGACAUUUUCUUUUCCCUGCCCGGCCUCACUCUUGACCUUCACCACAGCACAGAGGCCCUCCAGCUGAGGGAUGCAAUAUAUUCUCUAUAGGUGCAUAUCAACUGUCAAGACCGUUUUCAAAGGUUCCUCACACCCUGAGCAGCCUCACCUGCAAACUACAAAGAGCAGGCAUUUUCAAUCACAGGCCUCAGAUGCAGUGGCCUCAGUAUCAGUAGCUCCUGGGCAUUCCUGCACAUGGCUGACCCUCAGCUCAGUGGUGGGAGCAGUUCAAAGCCGAGCAGGGACAGACACAUCUUUCCUGCUCUCACAAAUACAAUGCACAUCGUUAACCUGUGUGCAAAUGCUCCCACAGCAAAAAAAAAAAAGGAGAAGAGCAGCCCCCAGCCACUCAGGCAAUUCUGAGAAAUGUCUGUGUAGAAUAAUUACCCAGGUUAUAAAUGAUGCUGACAGAUUUAGUCAAACACUUUCUCUUUGUAGACUCUCGCUAAUGAUGAUUUAUGAUUAUAGACUGUUAAUGUGCAUGCAAUGAUUCAUCACAGCCCUAAAAGCUGCAAGACUCACUAACUCAGAUUAUUAGAUUAAUAUUUUAUAACAGUAAUUAGGGCAGCUCUGGCUGGUUGGGGAGUAAAGACUAAAAAACUGAGAAAAAAAAGCAUUUGAUGUCACUCUUAAAAAAUGAGCUUCUUUGAGAGAAGGUGUACUGUUAAUCAUUAAGACACAAUUAUUUCAACCCUUUUUGUUUCUUUUUGGUGCAGACACUAGACUUAAUGAAAAUUUGGCUGGCUACAACACUACAAGUAAUUAAGCCAUUGUCCUUUAUGUAAACAAAUGGAACAAGACUCAAAUUAUAAAAUUACAAUAAGUCUAAAUACAUUUUCUGGUGAAGCUUGUAUAUGUCAUGAAAGUUUGUUCUUAUAAUGCUGAUUUACAUCAAAGCAUUCAUGUUGAAGUUCAUGCGUUCAUGUGGGGAAAAUGUAUCAUGAAGGGGUAGUAAUCCUUUCAGGGUGAGAGUACACGUGGGUGUUAAACAGAGCAGUUAUUACCGAGCUACCCUCUAAAUAAUAGUUGUGCUAAAUAUUAAUUUCUUUUAAAAUGAUUACAGCCAAUAAAUAGAUGAAUCACAAAAAAUUAAACAUGAUAUAAUAGAAAAAUCAACAGAUGGUAGUGUUUUUCAUUGAAGUUCAUUUUUAUAGGUUGUUUUGUCAUCAAAACCCCCUGGGGAGCUCACUGUUGGUGUUAAUUGUGGUGCCCCGUGUGAGGAAAACGAUAUGUCUCAUUUCCUGGCUGACACUGUGCCAGCAGUGUCUCCUGAAGUAAAAUGCCUUUUGCCCCAUAACAAUCAAUUCUGUCUGUAACUGGGACACCAAGCUGUGGAUAAUGUCAAAAAGGCCAAAUAUUCAGCCUCUUUCUUCUCCCUCAAAGUGGUUAAAAAAGCAUGAAAAUCUCUGGAUAGAAACACUUAUUCUUGUUACUGAUGGUCUGGUCUCAGCUUUCCGUGAUCAUAUACAUAGACACCAAUGUUAGUUUCAGAUUGUCUAUUUAUCACUCAAAAGCCCUCAUGGUGGCAUUAAACCGAAAUUAAAAUCCAAAUCACAGUCUUCACAUUUGGCUGCUUUACUGUUAUAAGUCACGAUAAAAUCCAAAUUUUUAUUCACUACAAUGUAAUAAUAAUUUUUUAAGUGCUUUUACAGGGUCCUUCUACUUGUAAAGUUUCUGUCAGUAAUGUCAUCCCUCUUAAACUGGUUCCUUUUUAUGGGAUUUUUUCAUUUUAAAUUAUGAUUACAGAUUACUUGUUCAGUCUGUCAGCAUCACCCUAGGAUUAGGGCGUUAAUUUAAACCGGGACUUUGAAAAAGUUACUUUCAAUUAUGAUUAUUUGCGGCAUUUCAAUAAUAAAUUGCAAGUCCAUACUAACAGCAUUAAAAAUGUCCUUACUGUUGUGCUAAUUUUUAAAUUAAAUGAACUCACAUAAAAUUCAGAUAUCUGAUUAAUUUAUUUGUAUCUUUUUAAAGCAUGACACUCAUACACAUAAAAUGAUAUGACAGAGUACAUUGGCGACAUAUUCAAUCAGUGUCGAUAUAGUCAUUCUGAUCAUUUUGAUAACUCAAUGAUGUCCAGGGAUUCCUGGUUAAGGUGAUGGCAUUUGGACUUUUCAGGAGUUUCAGUUUGAUUGUGUUACUUUGUCAUCCAGGUCCUGAAUGCUUGGAACAAAUAUACCCCAUAUUGGUAGUGGGCAAACAUGAGGACAGACCCUCAGCAGGGUACACACUACAAGAUAAUGGAGCUGAUUUGGGGCUCAAUUAUCUCCUGCCAACCAAAGCCAACUGAGUCCUGAUUAUCUGGCACUUUGAAGAUGAUCUCAUCACAUUUUCCUGUGGUCAGUUAUAUUAAGAGUGAUUAUACUGACCCAAACAUUUUCAGCAUUUAUGAUCAGAUAUUAGUCGGGCAAGUGCACCUGUAACCAUAACUCAUGAAUGGUAGAUCAAACUUGGAGACUUUGUUGAUGUAUUGAAGUCAUUUGGCACAAAGUGCACAUUACUUUGACUUGUCAACCAAGCCGUCUGUUUUUUUAUUUUUUUUAUGUGGGCUAUAUGACGAGUAGCAGUGCACUUAUAGUGUGCUACUAAAAAUAAAUAGAACAUGAAUUCAGUUUCAUCUGAUAUUAAAGAUGACAAUCCCAAUUAGAUCACUUUGUUUUUGCAGAAUCUAAGGUUUGAGUCCAAACACCAACCUUUACAACAACAGACAUCCUAUCUAUAACACAGGGGCUCCCUGAGGAUCCCAAAGGUUCUUACAACAGACAAAGGUGUGCAGAAGUUUAUGUAGUCUUGCUCUCUUGUUUGAUUAUUUUCCCAGGUGAGCUGCUCCUUGUUUGGACCGAGAGUAAGAGGUAAUGUCUUUAUGAGAAAGGAUUUAGGUGUCAGACCUAAACAGGCCCCCUGUGUGUACACUCAUGCUCAUAUACAUCUCUCUCUACAUCAGUCUUGUUAAUUUAGCAUAAUUAUCACUGGUAUGUUGCCUUAUGAGGCGCUAAGGAAGGGCCACAUGAUGAGGUUGUUCUCUUUUAUUCCUUCACUUCCCUGGUUUUUAUGGCCUAAUUAGGAAGGUCCUGGGGGAGAUUCCUCUGUGCUGGCACAUGUGAAACAGAGACAAGGAGGAGAAAAAGAGAGAGAAUGCAAGGCAUGUAAGGUAGAAGCAAAGUUGUGGGAGUGGGGGGAUACCAGGGGGAAUGAGCAGAUAGACAGCCAAUACAUAAGAGACAGUGAAGAGAAAGUGAUGGAGAGAGAGGGGCUGCAUGCACUGUUUAUCAUACAUCUCAAGCACUGUACAGGAUCCUCGGAGGGCCCAACACCUUCAAACCUUUAUCACACACUGCCUGCCUGGGGCUGUGGGUGUGGCCAGGAAUAGGAAAUAACAGCAGAGGACACAAAAACGACUUUUUACCUCUCCAAGAAUUCUCAGACACAAGUCAAAAUAUGACUUUUUUUUCCCCACAGAGAACACAAUUAUUUAACAAAACAUAACCUUUGACCAAUACAAAAGUGGAUCAGGGCCACUUAAGAAAAAAGAAUUACAAUUAUUAAAAUUCAUUUUAGGAAAUUUACGUUUAAGCUGGAUUUUAAUUUAAAAGAAUAUUCUAAGACAGAGGAACUACUACAUUUGCAGUACACAUACAAAAUACACAAGAACUCUGAUUGCAUUUCCAUUUGUCAGGUUUCCCCCACAAACAAGCGGCUGCUGGAGGAGAGUGGGUGAGUUGUGUUUAGUCUCUUUGCUAAAGAAAUCAGGCAAAAUUAAAAAGAUGUUGGAUGGCUGGUACUAUGGCUGGGACCCUAUAUGUACUGUUGAUGAUGUUAGGGUGCUGUUCUGAGCAUUAUUUGUGGUUAUAGAGUGGCUUUUUGGUUGAGGUUUGUGCGUGGAGAUGUAGCCCGUUGUGUAUUGCUUUCAUGUGGUCGUUACUAAAGUUGGUAUAACUAGAGAAGCAAGCAGUCGGCAACAUUCAUCUCUCGAGGGGGUGUCCAACUCGGUGUUGCGGUGUGUUUGACCAUGGUUUAAACUUACGCCAGAAUAUUCCUCUAAUGCUCAGUCACGUUUUUAUAUUGACCCUACAUGCAGUUUACUCAUGCAAAUUACAUUUGCAACUUGCUGUUUUUAUAUCAUAGGCUUGAAACUGACAAGUGCAUUGAAUGGAACAUGCAGAAACUUGAGAUGCACGGCAUCACGUUGUGCUGUGUGAGAGCCCUCUGUCUCCCAUGAUCUCACUGGGACCUAGAUUUUGCUUCGAUCUUUUCCUAGUUCAUUCCUGAGAGAAAGUAAUGCUAACCAAUGAUGCAGUCGUCUGCUUGUGGAUUUGCUGGUGCAUACUCUCCAAAUAAUCAUUCACCCUCCUCCCCCUACUUCUCACAUGGCUUUUUUACCAUCUGUCCCAAACAAAAACUGAGGUUUAGUUGUAUGUUUUCUCUCAUUCCCUUGAAAAUCAACAAAGAAGAGUCUUCCUGCUGCUUUUGUUGCUCAAACUUGACUGGUUUAGGUUCCUGUUUCCUCCACGCCACUGUGGUAAUCAGUAAAGGUGGCAUGUGGCGUUUCAGUAUAUAUAUAAUGAACAGCACUGCCUCGUUUCCCAAAGAGACCCUGUCUGUAAUUGAGUUGGGCUUCUGCUAGAAGUUUUACAGUAUUUGUAUUGGUUACUACCCUGACCCGGGGUUUUAAUAUUUUUUUUCCUCAGCUUAACGCGUUUCCACCCACACCACUACGGAUUCUCAGAGUAAAUUAAUUAUGUAUUUCUCACAGAGUAGCCAUGCUCAGUGUGCUUUCUCUCUCAGAUUAGCAGCGGAUCACCAGACUCUCCAGUCAUUAAACAUGGCCUGCUUUCGCAGCAUUGAGUGCCAAACUACAGGGACUCUCUCUGCGAGUGGAAAUAUUCAGAUCUGAUACUAUGCAUAAUGAGGGAAAAACAAGUCCAUAAAAAGGACCCAUCCUCUAAUUUACUCUGCUUCCCUGCCCUCUCUUUACUACCUUCUCUGACUGUUAAAUAAUUCAUCAAGUUUUGUUCAACUAGUCUCUCUUAAUGGCCAUCAUGUCAAUCUUUAGAAUCCUGCUGGUUGUGUUGGGCUGCUGCAGCUGAGCGCUCCUAUCUUUUCAUCUGGGGUGCCAGGAGAGAGGUUUACACUGUGUGUGUGUGUGUGGGUGUGAACAUGUGUGUGCUUGUACAUGCGUGCAUGCUUACACCCAUUAGGUACAAUACAGCAAGACAUCCAGGCUUACAGUGAUGGGAUCGAUUCUUUUCAUCAUGUCCUGGGAAAUUAUUGAUUUUUUUCUUCAUGCCAAACUCUUUGGACAGUGCUCACAAUUAGAGAGGGAGAGGGAGGAGGUGGUGUAAGAGCAGAGAGUAUGGCGCCCUGAGGCUGUGGAUGCCUCCCCACCUCUGCUCAUGGAGGACAUAUUGAAUAGGGUGUCAGGAGAAAUCCACUCGGCCCAGUGCUGCAUCCAGACAUCAGACUGAGGUGGUCCCAGUGUGGCACUGGGUUCUUUAGGAGAGGCUGGAGCACAUUCAGCUCAGCCACAAGUGAUCGAAUAGAGUUUUUUUUUAUUUAUUUUUUUUACUCUAAUUGAUCGAUUUUGGUGUGUGUGUGUGUGUGUGUGUACAUGGGUGGGUGGUUCAGACUGAUCUUUUGAAUUUCAUUGAGAAGAGGACCUGCACUGUUUUAAUGAACAAACUCCCCCAGGCUUUUAAAUAGCAGGUUUCAGUUCCUGGACUGUUGGACAUUAUUAGUUUAAUAUCUUAAAAGAGACUUUCAGCCUUUAAUUCAAUAUAGGUAUCACUGGCAGCAGGUAGGGCUGCUGAAUUUAGACAAAAAAUUAUAACCACAAUUAUCCUUAUUGAUGUUAAGUUCAAUAUUAUUAAACGCGGUUACUCAUUAUAAGACAUCUGCAUAAACUAUUCACAGAAUUUUAAAACUUUUAAAAACUUAAACACUCAGAAUUCUUUCAAAUAUUAAAAAAGAAAAACUUUCUUUAAAAAAAAAAAAUAAUUUGAACUGUUUUUUUUUUUUUUACUUCACUGGGAGCUGACCGUUCGGCCUUUUCAUGCCUUCCUCUAUAAUGUCAAGAGUAAGGCCUAUAUGGACCGAUUACUAUAUUAAAAAAUGCUGCUUCUCUUAUAAUAAAUGGAUGUUUCUUGUUUUUUUUAAAGCAGAGUUUUGAAGCACUUCCCACAGUCACCUUGGUUAGUUAACUAACAAGCUUUCAUCCUGCUGUUUUUAACACAGAAUUUAACAUUGAUUCCAAUGGACUGUGUUAAAGCAGACAUAAAUUGAGCUUAAAAUCACCUCUUCAAGCAGACUGGGGUCAGGUAUGACUGUGUUUAUGCUGAUACCGGACAUAUGAGUCCAGUGUAUUCAGAGCUGGACUUUGAUCUGGAAUCUGAUACCCUCUUAGUAGUCUAGCUUGCAGGAAAACAAGGUUUUUUGAUGGCUAACCAAUGAUACGUUUAGAAUUUAUAUGUUUUUCUUGAGCUUCUUAUACUCUUGUUUUCAGGAUUGAAAUUUUGAUAUCAUUUUUAAAAUUUCCAUGUUAGAAAUGUGGCUUCUCCUUAGAUCUAGACCCCUGUGUUAAGUGCUGCUGUACAUGCUAAACAGCUAUCAGAGAGUUGUGAUAGUUGUCAUUUUAAAUGCCUAACCCACGUUGAGAGAGAUCCUUGUAUAUAAUCAGUAACAACAUGUUGCAUUGAUGCUCUCACUGAGGCGUCAACCAGCUCCUAAUGUGAAAUGAGAUUGCAGGCCAGUCAGCGUCCUCCUAAUGAAUCAAAGUAAUAAAUGGAAUUAGCUGUAAAUGGAUCUGCUUGUGAUGUGAUAACCAGCAGUAAUUUAUUCAACAGUAAUAAUCAUCUGCUGUGAAAUUAUAACAGCGGUAGAAGAGACAGGGAGCUCAGUUAGGGCAGGCCGUGAUGACAUGUUCAGCUCACUCAGGGACGAUGCGAUGUCAGCCUCAAUCUAGAUCCAGGACAGAGGAGGGAGCACCUGUGUGGAGCCUGAACAGUGUCUUUUUAAUGACCCACGCAGGACUGAUCUACAGUCUUAAUUCACAAGAUACACGGAAUAGAAGUUUCUUCCAGAAGCGUUGACGCCUCCCAAAACAAAAGUGCACAAAACUCUUGAUUUUUUCAUUCAAUAUUUGACUUUAUGCACUUAAAGCUAUAGUGCGUAACCAUAGACUGUUUAUAGAAUGGACAGCGUCUGCCUCCUCGAUGGGUGAAACCACUCCGUGAACAGCACCCUCUAGCGAAAGGCUGCAGUAUAGGUCAUAAAUCCCGCCUCCGCCAGCAAAGCUUAUGGAGCUGUGGACAAACUUCAGAAAUUUAUUACACAGAACAUAAUUUUUCUCCCCCCUGCUUGUGAUGUUGACAUGUACUUAUUGUAAGACUGGUUUGUGCUCAAGUCCUCUAUUUUGCCAGACUCCGCAGUUGAUCGCAAAAUUUCUAUUUUUUCUGGAUGUGGGAGCAUGCUGGUUAAAUUCAGCACAGAAGUGAAAGGUUUAUAGGCAGCAUUUCACCCUGAUGACACCAUGGAUGAGGAGAUGCUGAUUCUAAAAGUCUAGAAGAAGAUUUCCUCCUCUGGAAGAAUACAAUCUACUGCUUAUAUGGUUAGCCUUUAUGGCUAAAGACAACUUGUUAUCCACCACGAAAUUCGCCUCACAAACAGAUUCAGAAGGAAUUGGCGUAUGGCGAAAAUCGGAGCCGUUCUGAAUGCAGUGUAAAUAUCGGGUUUCACACUACAGUUUUAAUGCACAAGUGGUCUGAUUGACUACAAUGAGAGUGAAUGCGUCUACUGUUAGUGUAUACAUUCCUGUGCAGUUCAUCAGGUCAUUCUCCUGAAAUAUUUGACCUUAGAGGGAUAUGAUAUUCAGCAGAGCAGGUGAGUGAAGUGCAGCAGAUGAGAGGAUGAGCUGCAUGGAGAGUCAGCAGGAGGACGGGGGCUGUUACUGCAGCAGCAGUCUGACUGAUGAAACCGAUAAGUCAUCAGGACAUAUUCAUAUGCUGAUAGAGAAAGGCCUGAGUUCAUGGCAAAUUGCCUUUGGAUGAAUCGCUACCUUGAAGCCAUGUGUCACACACACUCUUAUGGACAGAGUUAUACACACUCACACCUUGGAGGAGGGAGCCUAAACUUUAAAUCUGGUUGAUUUCUUGCAGGGUCAGCAGGCCUGUGCCUCCAAACCUUUGAUGAUAAAUGACCAUCCAUUCACCUAAAAUGGGAAUCCUCUCAAAGAAAUGCAGUAAUUGACUCAUUUUUCACAAAGCGAUUGAACAGGAAGAAGUUUCCUCCUGACAGGACAGCCGAUCAAACAGAACUCUCAGCCAAGGACAUCCGCAGUUAUAAUUGUCCCCCGCUGCCUCUGUUCAGUAUACAUGAGCAAUGUGCUGUGUAGGCUGAGGGUCCUUAUUACAGAGGUGAGAGGAGCAGCAGCACACAGCACAUCGAUGGUCUUUAUGGCGGUUAUUCUUUGGCAUUGUUAAAGCCUUUUACUUCUUUUCCGAGAAACACUUAUACAAGGUCUCCUUUUCUAUGAAUUCACGAGACACUAAUACAAUUGAUAAAUACAAGACAUACAACUGAAUAUCAGUGUAUGGCCUGCGUAUUUGACAUUUCCAUUCUUAAGGGGAAUUCUUGAUUAAGUUUUUCUAAAGGCACAGUAAGGAGCAUUCAUAUCACGGUGAUUGAAAUAAGAACUGUUUUUCCAGUGUGAAUACUGGAAGUCAUCUACCGUGGAAAAGAUGUGCCUCCCCUGCUUUUACUUUGUCACAUUUUCCCUUGAAUCUUCAUCACUCAUUACUGAGUUUUGUGAAAAAAUCUUUUAAUUAUUUGUAAGUGAAUAUAUUAGCUUUAAUUAAUGGAAAAUUAGAGGUUAAAAACUGAAGGUGGCAGUAAUACAAUAUGCUAAUUAGCAUUAAAAAAACACCUCCUGAAUGUUCACACACAAGCACCAUCAUGACCAACAGCACAGGCUGUUAUGUAAAAGCCCCCAACUGUUUAUGUCUGAUCCCAUCCACACACCACUGGGUUUAGCCAGCAGGUGCGAGUGGGGUCAAAUGUCUUGCCCAAGGGCACUUCAUGUGGACAGCAGGACCUGGAAUUGGUCUUCCUGUUGAGGGACAACCUGCUCUAUCACUGGGACACAGCUGCCCAAAUGGAAGGACAAACCAAUCGUGACACAGCUGCCUGAGUUAGAGGAUCUUGUUUGUAAUAUGGAAACAGGAAUGAAAAAGAACUAAUCUGAAGAAAAGUGAGGAAGGAAAUUGGAUUGUAUUUUCACAGUAUUGUCAAUCAUGUUUGAUGUGAACAGCUUGAAAUUACAGGCAGAGCCCCUCCUCUCUUGCAUUUACUCAUGUACCAGGGCACUGAUGUGGAAUUAAGCAAGUAAAAUAAUUUGAAAUGUUUCCAGAUAAUCCAUUAUUUUAAUAUCAACUACAUAACUCAGGCAGUUUUAAAUUGAACUGAGUUCAUAAAUUUCCAUGUUUAAGACUUUCAGAAUAAAAAACUUGGUUUGCUCUUGAAAUCUAGCAUGACUUAAUAUCCCGAGGACUCUUUUUUUGCAGCAUCCAUAUCUUUUGUAGAUUGUUUUUACAAGUCCUCCUCGAACUCCAAGACAAUAGGACAGAUAUGGUUGCUGAUAUCUCUUCAUAUCCAGUCAGGUCUGCUGUCUUGAAGGAUCUCAACAGCUUCUGUUUGGUCUCUGAAAAUGAGAAUCUCUUGAUCAACAGUCCUGGUAAGUCUGGCUAUGGUUAAGGAUGUCAUACCUCAGGUCCUUUUUGCACAGAUUAAUCCACAGCUGCAGUUUAUUCAGGUUGUCCUGAAAAUGCCUUUCCUGUCCUUCCAUCUCUGAAAGCAUCUGGGAGGGUGCCACAGGUCCGGGAUGGGCAGCAGACUGAGAUGGGCAAGGCCUGUUUCAGGCACCAGUUCUGUGUCCGUUUGCCCAAACAUUUGUCAAAGAAUCUUUUCCAGCAGUGUGAUUAAAUCAUCUCCUUCAGGCAGACCUGUUAAUAUCGAGUUGUUUCUUCGACUCCUGGCUUCCAGAUCAACCACUUUUCCCUUGAGGUGAUGGACAUCUUAGAAAAGACCCUCAAUUAGAGGUGCAAUCCAUAUGUCUGGAACCAAUUAUCAGUUUCAACAUUAGAUAUCUUGUCUUUGUAAUGUUUUCCAGUGGAUAUAGGUGGAAAAGGAUUUGCGAAUCAUAUUCUGUUUUGAUUCACCUUUUACACAAUAUUCCAACCUUAUUUUAACUGUGGUUUGUAUUACGACAAAGUUUUCGUAUGGCAUACAGUGACAGAAUUUUGAGUUAAGACACCAACAUGAUGUAUUCCCAAAUAUCUUGUUGUAUAAAGCUAUCCAAAUAUCUUGCCUUUGAGGGAUUGGAUUACAUCAGACAGCGGUGAUCUUCCUCUAAUGGUGCACUGGAGCACAUGGGGAUCCACACAGGAGACACAGGUACACUAGUGUGUGCACGGCUCAGGGCAUGCAUUCACAACCAGCUUUUAUAUGCAGGGAAGAAAGAACAAAGCGGGCUGUUGCAGAGACACACCGGGUUUGGAGCUUGGCAGGGAUGCCCUUGGCGACCCGUACACUUCCUGCAUGCAGAGCUGCCAGCAGCUACUUUGACUAAUGACCCCUGGGCCCAGGAAAAGUGAGCAGCUCUAGAUGAGCUAGUGCUGGAGGUCUACUGGGACUCCGCGGCUCAGUGGUUUGGAGAGGGAACAUCCUCGUAGCUGCAGCGUAGCCGGCGGCAUUCAGCGGGAAAUGUUAGCCAUGUGAGUUAAUUUCCUUCCACCGCCGUGCUCCUCUCCUAAUUACUUUUAAUUUGAACAACCAUUAAUCUUGUUGAUGUUUUUAUUUCAUUCGUCAAGGUGGAGUGGACUUCAUUACAUUUACCACACUGAUUUGCACAUCCCAUGAGAAAAAGUGUCAUACGUGUCUCUUUUGCAAGGCCUAACAAUGCUACAGGGUGAAUGACACUGCGCAGACCGUACUGAUCAUGUACUGCAGACCUGUGGCAGCUGUUAUGAUGGAAAAUAAUAUCCUCUCUGUCACUCUGGGUUUCUUUUCCCCACAGAUACUGUCCAGGAAUGAGAACAUGAUGAAUAAAGACCAAAAGAGCAUGGAAUACAGAGCAGGAAAAUAGUGUUAAUUUGAAUAUUUGAAUAAUUCUAUAGAGGACAUGCUCAUAUUCCCAAAAAUUUCUCUGACCUUCCACUCUCCUCUCUUUAAAGUCAAACUCACAGCGAAGUGCAUUAUUAAUUAUUGGAAAUCAUAAAAGAGGCGAGCUGGAGCUCCUUUGGAGUUAAUUAUGCACAUUACAUUCAAGCUGCAUCAGCUCUCACAGAGGAGAAACUGAGAGCCCAUGCAGGCUCCCCACUUCAUGCAGGGCUUAGGAAUAAUGAUUUGUAAAAUGGUGUUAAGGACACUCGUUUUGUCACUGUUUUCUAUUUGCAUGAUAUCUAAAAAAAAUAAUUUAAAUUCUUACUCAAAACAACUUUUAAAAAAAUGUGUUGCUAGUAGAUAUAGAUAUAGUAGAUACGUGGUGCAACGUAUGGUGCCAUUACUCAGUGAAUUUAGCAAAAUGCUAAGCAGCUUCUGUUUUCAGGAGCUUUUAACCUAAAGUAACUUAAAGUUUGUAGCGUAUUUUGUCUUUACCUGCAGUGCCGUAAUACAUCACUGUUGCUUAUUUGGUAAGUACGUUAAUCAAACAGUUGUCUCAUUACUUGCAUUACUAUAAGUUCUUUAUCUAUCCAUGCAAUGAGCCCCCUAGUGGCCCCUAGUUUCUAGCAAUGAAGACCGCACAAGGCAAAUGCUUGGUCCUUGUGCGCCUGGCCCUGAGUGCAGCUUUUGAUACAGUAGACCACAACAAUUUAUUGGACAGACUGAAGCACUAAGAUGGGGUUUUUGGUACAGUUUUAGAGUGGUUCAAGUUAUUUCUGACAAACAAUAAGGUCUCUGCGUCCACAAAUAUUUAUGGUGUGCCACAGGGGUCUCUUUUAGGUCUCAUUUAAUUUUCCUCAUACAUGCUCUCCUCUGGGGCACGCCAUGGAUAAGCGUGGUGUUUUAUUUCAUUGCUAUGUAGAUGACUCUCCUGCUCACUCUACCUGAUCCUGGCACUCUGAGUUCUGUACAUUUUUUUCUGUUAGAGACUUAAAUUUGGAUGCCAGACUUUUUUGACUGGGGUGAUCCAACCCAGGGACUAACUUAUAUCAGUGAAGUAUAUGUAUUGUUUAAUCAGUGUUCUAACACUUUCCAUGAAGUACGAUUUAACAUGAGUCCUGCCUUUGACAAAGCAAUGGAGUGGUGUUAUGGAGUUUUUUCUGACAUAUUUUUAGGACAAGUAUACUGUAUUUAAAAAGAAACUUAAUAUUUUUUACAAGUUAAAAACUAGGAUUAAUUAAAAAAAAAUUAAUAAAAUCAAAAGAAAAUGAAAAUUAUAUUGAGCGUGUUAGUAGUGAACAUGUUGUAGCAGAGACUUUGAUUUUCUCUCUCUGGAAACAGAGGCUCAUGCUGUAAAGACAUAAAUAACUGACAGGGUAUUGACAGUUUAACAUGCCUAGUUUGCUGAGAUUACCAUCUUGUGGGGAUGCAGGUCAUAUUUAUCAUCCUCUAAGUUUAAAAUGUUGGUCACUCACAUUGGAGCCAAAUUGAACCACUUGACCAACAUAAAGUACAAAAACUUGUAAAAAAGAUGUAAUAUUGUUCUCUUUAUGAUAAAAAGUAAAGAAAAAGUACAAAAGUUUGGGUAAACCAAGCAACACUAGUAAAACCAAGUUAAGAUUUUAAAAUUUGCAGCUAACAAGGUUCUUAUUGACCAGAAAGCCAACUUCAUUGCCCCAGUAGUGAUGGACUUUUACUUUCAGAGGCAGAGAAGUUAUCUUUACCAAAAGUGAACAAAGAAUGUGAAAUUGGUCAUAAAAAACAUAAAACACACACAGAAAACUUGGUAUUUUUGAAACUAUCUUUGUAAAUCUCACAUGUUUACAUCUGCAUGCGAGGGUGACUGAUAUCUAAAAUUAUAACACAGUAAGUCUUACACACUUGUUGCCCUCUGUAACAUCAGUUAUGAAGUAAUUACCAUGUUAUGUGUCUUCGCGUGGAGUCUCGUAUUCACUUGUCCCUCCGGGUUGAUUGACACUAAAGAUAUCUUCAACUAAUUAAGCUGCCAUUGUUGCAUCUGUGUAGAUCAAGGCGCUGUGAGAAAACCCAGAAGCAAAGCUGUGAGGGGAGUUUUUGUCCCUGAUCCCCUUCCCUUUGUGUGUGCUGACUUAAUGGAGUUGAUAUUAUAUCAAAAAUCUUGCAGUGUGUAUCGCCCCUAACCUGUUGUCGAGGUGUGUUGGGGUCCUUAACACAACAGAUGGAGCUCCUGGGGUGUGGGUUUCUUUUUAAUUACUUUGCCUCCAUAAGCAAUUUACAUGUGAUAAGGUGGCUUACAAGGCCCACCAAUUAAUUCUCACAAAUCCUUUUUAAUUAAUGGGAAGUGGAAUUCAGGGCACAAGGAGAAAAUUGAUUUAUAGCUGCUACAACUCACAGUAUUUAACCUCGAAAGCCAAGAGGAGUUAGAACCAAACUUUCUACGAUAACUUAAAGUCUAUCUAUCCACCUACUGGGUGUUCAUGCUAUGAUUACCCUGUAAAAAGGGCCCUGUGGUAAGAUUGUAUAUAAAUCUCUGGAAAAAAAAAAAAAUAGAUACUUGUUAUAUCUGGAAUAAUGCCAGGAGGUAUUGCCCAGGUAAAAUCUACAUAUGAGAAAACACUGGAUGUCCAUUAACAUGUUAUUUUUUCAAAGCAGUCUUAUUGAUGAAAAGAAAAAACAAACAAACAUGCAAUUGUUCCUUGGGCUAUGCCUGUGGCAGCUUUGACCUGGCAUGGUGGCUGGUUUGGUUCAGAAAUGUGCAAUACUUCCAACAGUUAAGUAAUAUCAAAUUUGGUUCAGGUUCUCACUACAAAAGAAAUAAAUUCUCCACAGUCUGAAUAAAAUUGAACCAAGACUCACUUUCUUAAGCAUACUCAGUAUGGUUAUUUGGCUUUCACCAGAGUUUAACUAAAAGUUUUCACACCACAGCAAACAAACUUCAGUACUUUGAUGAACAGACUCAUAUUUUUUUAAUUGAAACAAACAGAUUGCACCUCAAAGCACCCUAAAACUUUUACUUGUAUUAUGACCAUUUGUGCAUUGUGUUACACAGUUGGUUGUAAUACUGUUGCUGAUUGUACACAUCCUGUCCCACACAGAAUCCAGCUACUGAAGUAAUGCCUGAACUAUGCUCACUUUACUUUGGUUCGGCAACUGAUAAGUUAUCAUCCAAUUCUCCAAAAAUGACAAUUGUGAUAGUUUUUUUACUGAUAUUAUAUAUUGUUGUCUGUGGCUGUCAAUGUCCUUGUCACAUAAUUACUUUUACGCGCUUGGUGCCUGGGGCCUUAAGGAGUCGAUUAGCUGGUUGAUUGGUGGGUUUGUUGUUUCAUGUGUUGGUUAAUUGGUUCUUUGAUAGGUUGGUUGGUUUAUUGCUAUGCUGGUUGGUUUCAUUGUUCUGUUGUUGGUUAGUUGGUUCAUUGGUUAGACAGUUGGUUCAUUACUUGGUUGUUUCAUGUUAUCAUGGUGCAUUCGGUCUUCCAUCUGCAACAUUGCAAUCAAAAUCUGGCCUGACUUUGAAAACAGUGAUGUGAUUUAAAAAUCUUGUCAGAAUUGGCCUCAAUUUAUGCAGUAUAUACUGGCUUAAGAGCAGUACUGACAAAUACAUGAUUGAGUCAUUGCGCAACCUAAACACUUAACAUAUAAAGUCUACAGUACUGAUAUUUGAAUGUAAGACAAGGAGUUUGCAACAACUGAAAAAAAAUAUUAAAAAAUAAGAUUAAAAGGAUGCAAAAAUGAAAGGAAAUGUCUGUGCAUUGUUGGAUCUGUUUGCAUGUUUUUCACAAGGUCAGAAAACAAAUAGAAGAAGCCCUCUCCCCCUCCGCCCUCCCUUUGGAGUUUUAUCUCUCACUCUGUGCGUUGAUGAGUUUUCCUCGGCCUUGUUCAGUCAAGUGUAAAAUCCAGUGUAAUACAUUCCUUUUUAAUUUGGGUCGCCACCAAUCGCUGCAUACCAAUGCAGUCUAGCAAAGCCUAUUUGCAGGUGGCUUUUAGUACUUCUUUGCUUUUCAUAUCCCCCAAUGUGCUGACCAACAACACCUCUCAGGAUAUGAUAAUUGAGUGAUGAUGAGUGAAGAUGGAUCUCAUUCUGACACCGUGUGGUUGCAGGGUCAGUGGUGGUCAGCUCUUCUGCUUGAACAGCAUAUUGCAAUAUGGGUAAAGUCAAAAAACCACAUUCACAAAUACCUUUCUUAAAUUUAUUCUGAAAUUUCUCAUUAACGUUCCACUCCUGUAGGGAAUAAUUGACAUUUUUCCUACUAAUGCUUUAGCCAUGUUUGAGCUUUAAAAGUGUUGCUGGGUAACAAAACCAUUGACGGCUAUUUACUACUCAAACCCCAAUUCUCUGUGCUACAUCGCUCAGCAACAUGCAAAGAGUGCUACCACAGCAGGGACAAGAUUUCAUUUUAACAACUGUAAAAAAGGUCAGUUUGUUUUUUCUGUGAUGUACUUAAGUGUAUCUGACCGUAUAUGAUUGUACAAGAGUGUAGACAGUAAAACAAUGAAAGAUACUCCAUAUCAAAAAUAACAAACCCAACUGGACUGUCUGUCUUUCAGGCCAAACCAUAUAGGUGACUGACAAUUAAAAAGCAGCUGGUGGGCGUAGCUUAAACAUACUUGGCCAACUUAUCCCAAGUAUCCUCAUUUUACAUCAUUUUAAACCUUAUUUUAUAUUAUUGAACCAAUCAAAUUCAGCUGGGUGACUGAUAAUGCAUUUUAUGUGAUUGUGCCCAACUUUUUCUCCACUAUUUGCAAACAUUACAUCCAUACCAAUAGUUGCAUAAAUAUGCUGUUAGGAAGAUGACAGCAGACAAAACCUUGAUGGAAGACUCUAUGAAAGGUAGCUGAUGAUGGGCCUUUGACGUUAUCCCAAAUAUGUUUACAAUUGGAAAAGACCAAUGUGCAAAACUUAAGCCUUUGUCUAUCUGUUCAUGCCAUCUCAUUUGUCCCUGCUGCAAAGUUAAAUGGUUUUAGUAGUGGUUUGGAGAAGGGGGGCCUAGAACCGUCCUGUCCUGUCAUCUUAGGCCAUAGAUAAGCAUAGAGGCAAUUACAGCUUAUCAGAGAGUCCCAGAGAGAGAUGUGCAGGAAGAUAGAAUUCACUUCAUAUACAGAGGGGUUGUUAGUCAUUAUAACUGAGCCACACUCUACAAUCUCCUGGACUUGUUUUGUCUAAGUCUUGGUUUCUAAGUGGUGAUUAUGAUGCAGUCAGGAGGACAGAGGCUGGAGAUGGCAACCUUUUGAAAGAAACAUCUAAAAACAAAGACAGGGACAUGAAAUUACUCCCCAUGCAGCACUUUUCCCCCCUAAUGUUCAUUUGUCAAACUCCUUCACCGCACCAUGCAUAAACACACUCCAUCAAACACACACACACACACAAAUAGAUGUCUUCAUCUGCCUUCACACUGGUGUGUGUGUGUCUUGUGUGUGGAGUGAAGGUUGUUGCUGAGUGUGCAGUUUUCAGGGCUGUGCCACCCUGCCUGCUGGCAGAGGCCACUGAAGCCUGAAGAAUCUGUCUUCAUUCAAUACCAAGGCCCCCCAAGUCACUUUGAUAGGUCUGGAUGGGUCCUGCCUGGUUGAAUGGAGUUUGGGGGAUAAAUUAUGUUACAGAAAAGUGUAUUUGUUCCUUAGUGUUACAGGACUGCUCUAUGGUAAAUCCUACACUGGCUCUAAUGGAAUGAUAAAGUCAAUAAAAGAAACAUGAUGACAACCAUCAACAAAGGUUUUUAGCAUCCUUGUUUUUAAUGGUUUUUAACUGUUUGAAAUCUUCUCUUUAUGAUAGAAAAUGUGUUUAAGUCUCAUGAAAUACUCAUCAGAAUGGUACAAUGUAAACUGCGGUGUUCCUCAGGGUUCAGUUUUGGGUCCUUUAACCUUUAAACUGAAACAUCAUCAGGAGGCAUGACAUCAAAUUUCAUAACUAUGCAGAUGACAAACAUGUCUCCUGAUGACCCAAGGCCGUUUGAUACCUUUUUAACUAUAUUUUAGUUAUCAAGUCAUAAAUGUGUCUGUCAAGGGGGCCCUAAGGUUCCCCUUGACCCUGCUCUGAAGUUACACAUCUACAUUUGCUCUUCCAAACAUAUGAAGAAGAUACCACUCAGGACACAUUGUAACCAGCAGGUGGCAGCAAAAUAAGGACUAAUUGAACGUGAAAAGAGAGGCAUUCAGUGUCAGGCUUAACCCCGUUCAAUAUUGUGGGAGUGAGAUGUUGAAUCUAAGGAACAAGUUUGAUGCUGGAGGAGUGGUAAAUGAAACACAACAAACUCAGAGAAAUUGCUGAAAAUAGUAGCCAACCAUGAAAUGUGAUAUUUGUAGGAGAAGCUAAAAAAGGGCUGUUUGAAAGAGAUCUUUGCAGGAAUGGCAGGGAGUUUAAGAGCUUGGGCCUGAAUAGUCAGACAUCAAAGCAUGAACCAGCUCCUUAGAAGGUCAAAUUAAAUUAAAUGUGGUAUAAAUGCAAGCCAUUUGAAAUAACAGUGAUAUAAUGACCUCAUGUGUGAAACAAUAACUGUUCCAUAUGAAGCUGUGAUAUGACUGUAUCACAAAGCUGCAAUGAUAAUGAUCUACAAUGCAUGAGUUAAAAUGCAACAAUGAUAAGUAUCGUUCUUACACAGCAGUGAGUAAGAUAGCAACAGUUGUGUUAGAGACAGUUGUGUUUCCAGAACAAGGUGAAAUGUGGUGAAAUUCCCCCCUCAGGAUCCAUCUGCUAAAUAAUUGCUGUUGUUUCUUGGUUCAUUGGAGUACCUCGGGAGUUUCUCUGCUUUACUGCAAGGAGGAUGUUACACAGAGGCUUUUCUGGUUCAUAUCAAUGGCGUAUUCCAAUUUUCUCAAAAUUGACUUGUCAUAACUGAGUCUUAAUUUUGCCAAUGACAGGUCUUCCAAAAUUAAUAGCAUUUUGAGGUUGAAAUGGUUUGCACCUGUGCACAGAUAUGUGUUUAAAAAGACAGAUAAAUAGAUGUUAAAUUACUGCAAAAUGAAGCAGGUAUGCCAUCACAGCAGAUUGCACUAUUGCUGUUUCUCUCUACACCAAAGCCUGCUGAUAAGUGAUUGAUCAAUAACUAUUUGAAAGCGCUGCAAAGGAAACUAGAACAUUCCCCCAGACUAAAAUCCCUGGGGAGUCCCAUCAGCACAGAUUCUACAUUGUUAAUGAGGAUCUGUAAAAGGGGAUUAAUCAAGAUUUUACAUAACAAAACAAUUCUGCAGCCACAUAUAAAGUUAUUCCAUAAUAAAUGAGCACAGCACAAUGCACAUAGAUUCCCUCAUGCCACUCCUUUAUCACCCACAUCCCUCUGCUGCACACCAUUCAAUACUUGAAUUCCCCCUGGACUGGUUCCAAAUCAAUCACAUCGGCAGAGCAAUUAUCCUGCUCAAUCACAUCAGCCAGCUGAUCAGCUUAACUUGUCUGAGUGCUAAAUCACACAUACUGGCUCACGCACUCUCACGUACACUCACGCACACUCAUACACACACAGGUGAGCACUCAGUACAAACAUCAUUAGUUCUACAUUCUAUUAAAUCUGUGUAAUGUCAAUCUCAGAACAUAUGUUUCUUAUUUUUAACUCCUUUGCCUUAAGCGUAAGGGUCGGCAUAAUCAGUGCUAAUGGGUUUGUUUCCAUGGAAACCAGGGGAGGGAGUAAGCAAAGCUGGUUGCAUCCAGAUUGAGCUCCUUUCCUCUCUUUUGCAGGUGACUCCUCCACAGCAAUACUAUAAAAGAAUCAUCCAGACAUAUAUCCUUGUAUAUAAUAUUACUUUGAAAGGUAACUGUGUGUCAAAAAUGACAUCUGAUGAACUAAAUUCCAUAGUAACUUGAAAAGAAGACAUUUGUCCACAGUCGAGUCCAAAAGAAAAAAAAAGAAAGCUGUAAGAUGAGCAGCCUAUUACAACCUCAAUCGUGGUUUAUAAUCCAAGUACUGUCUCUGACAUAGCAAACAGCUGUGCACCCGUGGCAACCCUGGCUAUGUCCCUGGCCAUUCAAAGUCAAGAUAAAACAUUGUCAAGAAAAUUAAAAUCAGAAUAUCAAGAUUAAGUGUUUCAUUGUGCACCAAUUAAAAUCUGAGUAAAAAAUACAUCUGUAACUAUCAGAAAACCUUGAUCAAAAACAGCUUGUUUUCCAGCUUUAGGUUGCUCAACUUAAUAUAGCACAGCACAAAACGGGUAUGAUCCAACCCUACAUGCUUAAGUGGUUUGACCCUGAACCAGACGACAAUCCUUUCACUGCUUAAAGGUCAUUUCAAUUGUCCUCUAAGUGGUGAAUCAAGAAACACUAUAUCACGUACCACGCAGACCUGAAUAUAAGACAAGGAUUUAUACUCAAAUGUUAACAUAUAUCUUUGCCUAUAGAUGGUUUCACUCCAGCUGUUUAGCAACAGCAGUGAGAGAAGAUUCAAAGAUGGAGAGACAAGGUGAUUGUCCUGAACAAAGUGGCUCCAAGUCGGAGUGAGGAUACCAAUUUUAAGAUAAUGGUUAUCAACACAACAGAGUCAAUGAACAAUUGUCAAUUUACCAAGAAGUAAGUGCGGCAUUGCAGAGCACAAUGUCUGAGGAUGGCAAGCAUCAUGAACUAUAUCAGAAGUUAUCUUUUUAUGUCCCAGUCAAUACGAUACGAUGUUAUUUUCUCCAUGUUUAGAAAUUGGGCUUCUGGAAAUUAGCUGCCUAGAAAGUUGGAGGCUGAAGUGCAGGAAGGCAAGGCAUGGCUCCCAGUGCCAGAAGACGACAUUUGGCUUCCAAAGUCCUGAGCUUUCUGGGCAAAGCAGGGGAACUAGUCUUGGGGAAAUGAGUGGAGUAUUUUUGGGACUGCUUUGGCACAACUCACCAAAUACCACAGCGCACUGUUUCUCCAACCGCAAUUGGAGAGUGGCCUUCAUCUUUGAAUGAUAGGCUGGGGAUGUCCAUGAGCCCAGAGGCACAAAGAGCUGAGACCUUGCUAAAUAGAUAUAAAUACCUAAAAUGUUGACUGAUAAUGUUUCAAAAACAGAUGGAAGUUUAUUUCUAAUAUUUUAAAGAUAGUUAAUAAUACGAUCAUAAAUAUCACCAGCCUGGAUCAAGCUUAACAAAAAAAAAAAAAAAGCAUUUUUCCCUAUUUUUUGGCAUUGGAAGUUGUGGCUUAAAAUACAAAUACCUAAAUAAGGAUACAGGCAAGAAAUCAAGUCUGAGCUCAAAGUCCAACAGCAUCAUGAAACAGGUUGAAUAACACAUUUUAAACAUUACACUGUCUUUCAUUUCUGUCUAUAGCUUAAAGGUAUGGUUGACGAUCUGAGAAGCAGUUGAAAAAAACUGGGCCGUUGAGGCAGAUUUGAAAAAAGCACCAAUCUCUCCAAUCGUCAACCAUGCCUUUAAUUAUAAAUGCUCAAAAGAAGAAGCCGGCCGGCAGAAGAUCCUACACUAGCUUCAAAUAGGAUACACCAUGUUGGAUUGCUAGUGACUAGCGGCAGUAAAUGCCAGCUCUGCUAGCGAGCAUCAUCUGCAGCUGCCUGGACAGCUACCGUAUUGACAUUGCAGAGACUAAUAAGAGUUAUUUAUAUUACAUGUGCCACAAUAAAAGGCAAAAUUACCUGUUAAACAAAAAACUCUGCUGUCUCGGCUUCUGUUUUCUCCACCGCUCGAAGGAUGACCCGAUGUUAAUCCAAGUUAGAUUCCUCGCUUGGUAGCAUUUCCUCUUCGACUUUGCCCUUUCUUCUGUCGGCUUGUGUUUUCUUCCCACUUUUGGCGGUGCAGAGAUGUUUUUCUUUCCUUUUUUUUUUGCGUCCCUCUUCAUCACAGCUCCAGUAUCUAAGCUACUACGCUUCUUUUAGCCGCUCAGCGCUCCGAGGAGGGCCGGGAAAGUGGGAGGGGACGAGUCAGAACUACGGGAGAGGGGUGUGUCGUAUACAGCGAGGUUAUUGGAUGGAGAGGCGGAGCAGAAGAUUGACCAAUAUGAGUUUUUGCAGCCCUGCACCUGUUAGGGUGAACAGGUUUUUUCCACUCUUUUUUCUCUUCACUUUGUAGAGAUCGCACUAUAGGACCAUGAUAGCCAUAUCAACGGGGUUCGUAAUAAUUACCAAUCUCUCCAAUUGUCAACCAUGCCUUUAAUUAUAAAUGCUCAAACAAGAAAGCUGAAAGAGAAUACUUGAUAUCCUAAAGCAUCUUGGAAUAAACAGAUGUACUUUGUUGCAUUUGUGAAUCAAACUCAGCAUUACCGUCAUCUAUUUUGAAUUCUGCUGAGGCCCUGAAUUAAGAUGAGCCAAAAACAUACACAGGAGAGUGUGAAUACAUGACUAAGUGACAAAAACAUCUUCAUAAUCACCAGAAUUAGUCCAUGUGACAGGACGCUUCUGGCAGGUAAGCUCUUUUAUCCCCACAGUGGGAGGAAAGCAGAGGUAAAAGAUGAAGUUUUUUGAAUAUCAAGCUCCCCCCAGGAAAGAAUCACUAAUUCCUGAGGAUCUCCAUAUUUCAUACUAAAUAUUCAAAACUCUAUGAAACCUGUACCGUUUUAUCCUCUGAUCUUAUUUGGUAGCUGGUAGCUCCUAAUUGGAAAGCGAGAAAAGAGCAGCAAUAUUUUCUAAGUCCACAAGCUGGCUACUUAUCUGUGAUCCAGUCUGGGCUCAACAGUGAUGCAGUAAUGCCCUGAAGGGGCUGGAAGCCUGAAUGGGGAUACUGCAGUCCAAGCACAGAACAACUACAGAAAGCAAUGCCAAUAAAAGAGUGUAAGACAAGCUGAACACGGCCUCUGAAGCGGCCAGCUCGCAGGGGAAAGCUGCAGAAAUCGCUGUGUGUGAGCGCACAUACAGAACACGCCGCUCUAUGUUGGGGUCUUUGUUCUGCGUGUAUUCGCAGCCUCAUUAACAACACAACAGCUCAUGUGGAAGCAAGGCACAUCCUCGACACGGUUACCCAAACAAAGGUGUGGACACGCUGACCUGUGGCCCUCGCUGAUUGCCUGUUACCAGUCCUGUGCGCUCCCGUGGCCCUCUGAUGCCUGAGUCUAAUCAAAAGUGAAUCUGAUGAUGAGUUGUCCUCUGUUGGGGCUGAUUUGAUACAUAUCAGGUCACCUCACCUCCCCUUUCUUAACAGCCCCUCCACCUUCCCUGCAAAGAGAAAAAAAAAAAAAAAAAAAAAAACACAAGAAGAAAACUAAUAAUUGAAAGUGAGAUAGCAGGGCAGGACCAAAGGGCAGAGAAUUGUAGCAGCGAGCACUUCACUUGGAAAUAAGGCACAUCCAAUCCUGGAGGAAUCAGGAGUGCCGGCGCUGUAUUCUCUGCAGCCCUCCCUCUCCAUUUGUAUUCAGAGACUUGAGCUGUGUGGCUCAGACGAGAGCAAAUUCAGUUUCUCAUACAGAGACUCUACCCUGAUGCUUUUUGUACCAGCCACAAAAUGACCCCUAUUCUCACUCUCCAUGUUGAAUUCAAAAAGCCACAUCAACAACAGAAGGGCUGUGUUUGGGUUGUUCCUCAUAGUGGACAGUGUUUGCUUAGAUUGGCUGAGAGAAAGUGCAGAGGCAAUGCUAGUUGUAUAAAUUUCACUCCUAACAAAAUAACAGGAUUUUCACACUCUGUAAUCUGUUAAAGUAACAGGCAGCAAAAAGUUUUUUUCCAGUCUUUGAAAUACCCAGUAAACUCAGUGAUUCCUCAACAGGUGGACAUAAAGUUACAGCUGUGAGCGGGCAGAUGUUAAUGUCAGAACUUUUUAUUAAGUAACUUAGUAUUCAUCAAAGCGUGUUUUAACAGGAAAAGGAACAAAAACUCUUAAAAGGGACUUUAAAGAUUUAUCUGAUGCCAAAACUGAAAACUGGUCUUGUCUCUUUCGUGUGCUCACUCUGUUGAGAUAGGGGCAUGGUUACCAUUGUGUUACUUUACCUCUACUUUUGACAGUACUUUAUAAACUUUAGGCAACUCAAGACACCCGUUUCUGAUUUCUUUGUAGAGCGAAAUUUUGUCCUUUUUCCUGAUAUAGGAUUUAGGAUAUAGGAUAUAAGCAGGCCAGUUCAGCACCUGGACUAUCACACUUCUGAGCCAUGCUGUUGUAGUAUGAGCAGACUGUAGUUUGAUAUUGCCUUGCUGAAAGUAUGAAAGGUCUUAAGGUUUGUUACACAUCGGCGAAUUAGACUUCGCUAAUUCACUGGUGUGUAAUAACCUUUAGUUCAUUUGGUCAUCAUGUCACGGCAGGGCACAGCGCUGAAGCAAUGUAUGUUACAUUACAUUUAUUUACUCUGUCCUUAAUACGCUUAGGCAUAAAUAAUCAUUAGCUGUUCUGGAUCAUGUAUGGUUUCCUCAGUGCUUGAUACAGUUUCAACAGGAGAUGGGGCAGCGCCACAAAAUGAUCCAGGAGCUCAAAUUGUACCCUGAGAAAUUCCGACAAUCAGCUGACUCCACGUUUGCAGAAGGAGAAGACAAACUACAGAGAGCCAAUUGAUCCAGAGCAACAGCUUGCCACAUGUCUGAGAUAAGAUUUAUAUUAGGCUAUAAAUUUAUAAAGGAGUUCGCCUGUAAAUGUUCUCAAAAUUCCCUACAGGGGUGAAAAAUUACAGUCGCUUUUUUCGUUCUGCAGAAGUUCGUAGCUGGUGUGGAAGCUUACAUUGACUUUAUGAAGUUUUAAAAAAGGGCUAAUUGUUCACUUCGCUAAUUCACUGGUGUGUAAUAACCUUUAGUUCAUUUGGUCAUCAUGUCACGGCAGGGCACAGCGCUGAAGCAAUGUAUGUUACAUUACAUUUAUUUACUCUGUCCUUAAUACGCUUAGGCAUAAAAAUCAUGAGCUGUUCUGGAUCAUGUAUGGUUUCCUCAGUGCUUGAUACAGUUUCAAGCUGAAUAUGUGGAUGUAGGGACAUACAUAGUUCACAGACCUUGUUUUUUUGGAGCGUGAUUAAGAGCCCAUGCAGUGACUUCUACGACAGAGUCAUGUCUGUUUUUACUGCAUUGCUGCCUGAGAGUUGAAAUGGAGCACAUUAGCCUUGUCCCAUUUCUCCAGAUUCUCUGAGUCUCUUUUUAUUUGACGUUUUUACACUUUUAGUUAGGACAGCCAAAGAGAGACAGGAAAUGCAGGGAGUAGAGAGUGGGGGGAAGACAUACAGCAAAGGGAUUGGCAACAGUAACACUUUCCUGACCCAUUUUGUAUUGAAGAUGAUGAAAACUUAGAUUUUUUUUUUUCUGAAAUUGUUUAACCGUUCGCUCAAGCAGUCUCUCACAGAACAGUGAACCUCUCUAAAUCUCAGCCCAUCAAGAACACCCUUUUCACACAGAGUUGGGUUACUAGCCUGUUGCAGGUCUGGUUUUUUAGUUGGAGGAUGUCCUUUUAGGUGCCUGAAAGCAUAGCUUUGACCCCCUUUUCAGGGUUUUGCUGUCUUGGCCCUGACUUUUAUAAAACAUGAUGCCUAAAUUUAAAUUAGCCUGAUUUGCUGGUUUCAUUUAAAUUAAUGGUUAGAAUGAUUUACCAACUAUCAAAAUCAUUAUUUAUUAACUUUUUUAAAGCGCCCCAAGUUUUUGGAGUUGGGGUUGUGAAAUCAGCUGACUCAGCAGCUUCCCAGCGUUACAAUAAAAAGUCUUAAUCAGCAGAAGAGAGUUAGAAAAAGUAAGGACACCACUGUAUUAAAGUUGAUUCACUCCCAUAUCUCUGAAGCAGCUCAUCUGGCACAAUGUGCUCCACUGCAGAGCACAAUACAAAGUAAUUACAGCUAAUCUACUUACUCUAAUCACUCUUAAUGGGAAAUACAUCAGCACAGGUUAGCUGUGACCUAUGGAAAAAAACCAAGCAGCCCUCUGUACCCUCCGGUAAGGAGUAAGAGGUGGGGGGUAUCAGUGGGAGGAGGCGAGGGUGUCACCGAGGAACAGUGUGGGGAUUUGGGCAGAAGGCUGAUAGAUGAAAGUGCUAUUACAGGUCAAUUACGACUCAUUUGAGGUUUUCAACGCCGCCGAUGGCAUUACACAGCCAAUUGCACAGAUGAUGGUGGUAAUAUGAAAUAAGUGGCAGUGAAGGGGACAGGGGGCUGUCUUAGUGUCAUCCAAAGAGCCAACGGGUGGAAGACAGCCAGCAAAAGAGAGCUUAACAUAAGGAGAAACACUACCUGUGGUGUUAUUAGCACAGAGUUCUCUUUACCAGGACUUUUCUCCAUCUGUCAUGAUCCUACACAGCUGCACAUCUCAAACAUCACAGCUUGAGUUUAAGCAGUAAAAUGAUAAGAUUAUUAAUGAGCCCCGCAGCAUGGCAGAGUUACGAAAAAAGGCAUUAAUCUCUAGAAAUGGGAGGAUGCAGUUUAUUUGCUUUUGCAUGACUAAUAUGACCCCUGCUUUCUAAAAUUUGUGACUAUAAUCUUAUCAAAAGUAGGCAGCGAACACAGAUUGAUCCCAUGACACUUUUUAAAAAAAAAAAUAAAUAAAUUAUUUUUUUAAUUUCUAUAAUGUUUCUUAUUUGUUGCUGAGUACUGCCUGGGUCAAAAAUUUAAGAUCCUAAAUCCUGUACUAGGAUUUGGGGAUUGAUUUUCUCUUCCUAAGUCUAAAUGCAUGCAAAUGGAGGCUGAGUAGUAAACACAACCCCAACAUAAGUUAAAUGGACAUAUAAAAAGACAAAGCUGUUUCGUUUUAUACACGAAUGGUACUAAACUGUAGAAGCGAAGGUGUUUUCAUCGUGUCAAUCGAUGGCGUAGUAGAGGACUACCCAAUAGUAACAAGCAUAGACUGUAAAUAGAAUGGAUGCCGUCUGUCUCCUCGCCAGGCCACCCCAAGAACAGCACCCUCUGAUGACGGGCUGCUGUAUAGGUCAUAAAUCCCGCCUCCUCCAGAAAUCCCUAUGGAGCUGUGGACAAACUUUCGAAAUGAAUUACACAGAAUAUAAAUGUUUCUCCCCCCAUGGUUGUGAUGUUGAAAUGUAGUUAUUGUAAGACUGGUUUGUGCUCAAGUCCUCUUUUUUCUGUACAGCUCUAUUUUUAAGUUAUUAGGAGGUUCAUGUUUUCUAUGAUUGACACUUGAUACAGCCUAAGGGUGUACAAAGAUUGCGAAAUACUGAGAGCUUUUUUGGCUUAAAAUCUGUAUACUGGCGGAAGGCGGAACCAAGUUGUCCAGAGUUUAUACAGUCUAUGGUAACAAGCUAAAAGGGGCAUAGUCUAGUUAAAUUGCCUAGUCCCUAUAACUGUAACUCAUCUGUGCAUGUAAAUAUACUGAGUGUGAGUCAUGUUGCAUACAAACCACAAACUCUGCAUUUUCACAUAGCUUUAUUGCUUAUUUUUUUGAAAACAUAGUUGGGUUGUUGAAUGAGAAGUCUACUGUGCAGUUCACUUCUUCCGAUCUCACACUAUACAUUCAAGACUCACUAAAGUGUCAGGUUAAAAGAAGAGUUUUUGCAGCACAAGUGAAGUUCAAAGCGUCAAACCUUACCAGACGCAGGAGAAAGCCUUAAAGAGCAGCUUCAGUAUCAGACAGCUGUCUUUACACAGGAUAAAGCUCUGCAGAGCUCACCUGGGGUCUGAACUCAAACAUUUGAGGGUCAGUAUGACAUCAGCUGAAACAAAGAUGUGAAUAUGUGGCGGGUUAUCUGUCUAAUCCUUCAGUUGCUGCCGCUGAAGGUGAAAACAUGCGAGCACGAGUUCACUUACAGGGAAACACACAGUCAUUGAUGUUAGACUUGAUGCUAUCAAUGAAAAUACCAGCCCGUGUGAAUCCUCUCCCCUUAGUUCUUCCUUUGUAAGAAAAUAUAAGAAUAGAAAUCCUACCAGAGCUUGCUAUAAUACUCUUUGAGAAAACUGCCUUGAGAUGAUAAAAGAUGGAAUUUAUCUCUGCUCUUCAGGAAAUUGAACUUAUGGCCUUCUUUACAAAGAAUAAUGCCUUUCCCAGCACGUCAAUAGAGAAAGUUCAGGCCCCAGAUUAUCCUUUCUGGUGUGUAAGGAAAGCUAGAAAUGUACCCAUUCAGAGGGACUCUGAGUCAGACUAGGUAACUUGGGUUUGUAGACAGCAAGUGCAUCACAGACACAUUCAGAUAUUCACAAAGAAUAGAUGUUAAUGUCUUUAUUCAUCUCAGGAAUCUAAGAACCAUAGAUUCUUCUGGUUGUUUGAUAUGAGCUGAUGUGAGUCAUGUCAGCACAGUCAUAAGAGUAAUGAAAGUGAUUCAGUAUAACUAAGGUGAGCUGGGUAUGUGAAUGAAAACAGCAGAAUUUCUCACCCUGACUUUACCUGAACCAGGGUUUGACAGUAGGAGUGAGGCGCAGCUCAGGGGAGCCAGUUCAGGAUCAUCAGAGUUCCACCUUUGUUCUUUGCAGAUGAUGUGAUUCUGCUGGCGUCUUCCGGCUGGGGCUUCCAUCAGACAUUUGGGCUGAGUGUGAAGCAGCUAGGAUGAGAGUCAGCACCUCCUAAUUCCAGGUCCUGGUUCUCUGCUGGACUGCUCUCUGGGGUGGAGAGUGAUUCUUGGAGUCUUGUUCAUGAAUGAGGGCAGAUUGGUUUGAGAGAUCGACAUGCAGAUUGGUGCAGCUGAGUCUCCAACCCUCACCUAUGGUCAUGGUCUGGAAAGUGACUGAAUGAGAAUGAGACUACUGCAAGAUCCAAGUGACUGAAAUGAGUUUCCCCCAAAGAAGAUUGGACAUCUGAAGGGUGCUCAGAGUAGAUCUAGUGUUGCUUUACAUCAAAAGGAGUUGAGGUAGUUUGGGCAUUUGACAAAUUUGCCUCCUGGACCCCUGUCUUUGGAGGUGAUCUGAGCACAUUCGCUUGGAGGAGAACGUGGGGUAGACCCAGAGCUCACUGGAGGGAGUACAAAUCCCACAUGACUUAGGAAUGCCUUGGGAUCUUGAAUAAGUGGCCAGAAAGUGAGAAGGCGAUGUGAGUUGACUUGCCUAGACUGAUGCCUCUACAGAUAGAUAGAGACAUAAAGCCCACAGAAAAAGAAAAGGAGAAGAGUUGACACCACACCACACCAAUGCUGUACAUUGAAAGCAGCACAUGAUCCACUCCUCCAGCCUGGUGCUGUAUUAGGUCCUUACCUCCCAUAAAACUUGUGAAGUCAGAUCUCCAAAGUUAGCUGCUGAACUCUCAUUAGCAUGUUUAACUAGUUGUUCUUUUAGAUUUUCACAGAUUGGCUGCUAGAGUGUAAAUCUUGGCAAGAUUUUGGGCACUAAGAAGUAAUCCCAGUUGUCUGGCUCCACCCAGUGACACCCCAGACAGUCAACAAGCAUACAGCAGUCCAAAAAACUUAUUUCACCCUCAACCUGAAACAGCUUUAUGAUAAACAGAAUCCCUCCUCUCUCCACUUUUUUUUUUAGCUCAAAUCAGCAGAUGGAAGAGUAUCUUCAGUGUUUUCUCACAUCCUGUGUUUAAUUAGGUUUGGUUCAAAUGUCUUAUGAGGGGAGUUUUAGUAUGCAAAAUUCAGCCCAGAUGUGACUAAAAGAACUGGGUCACCCACUUCCAAAACUCCAGUCAAUUCAGAGCUCACAUGUGUGUCAGCUGUACAGAGUGCUGAGUUUUUACCUUGUUGCAUUAGACAAUUCACUUGUGUGCACAAGUUUAUUACACAGUAAAAUUAAGACCAAAGUUAUCACCUUAGGGGGCUGCAGGAGCUGCCUGCAUCACAGCGUUUUGGAUUAAGUUUGGAGUAAGUUAGCAAAUUCGUUGGACCAGUCCCACCGCAACAUACUAUCAGGCUUUUUCAAAAUCCUUGGAUUUUGACGGCACAUGAAAUCAAGUUCUCAACCUUUUUGAAUCACAACCCUUGGGAUUUUGGCCCACGAUUAGAUGCACAUUAACUAGAUUAUCAUACCAUCCAACUGGGGUCACUUCAAACUGGAAGUGUAUGAAUUAACCCGGUGUGCAGUGAGGCUUAGCAAUGACACAGGAAGAAUGUCAGAACCCUAAAUGUCAAACAGCAAUAACAUCAUGUUUUCAGUGUUUGUACUUUCCAUGGAUUCAAAAUACACUGUUUACUUUGGGCUGAUAUCAAUAGCAAUACCAAUAGAGACUUUUGGUAGUUCAUGAUAUCAAAAACUGAUAUUUGGAAAUGGUGAUGUCAAAAUGUAGAAUUUGGAAUAUGAACAAACUCCAUCAGUGAAUUUUGUUGCAACAGAUGAUUGGCUCUAAUUGCAGAUGAAUGAUCAAUAAUAAACCUUUGGCCUUGACCUGAUUCUUGAGAUUGGAAUUUGGGACCUCCCUUGGAUGAAAUUUUCAUAGCAAAGGCCUAAAAAAUAUACCUUUAUUCAAAAUUAUCUGAUGACCCCAAGCGAUCAUCUAUCUAUUGGGAUCUGGGUCCUUGGGUUGAAAUCCAAUGAGCUGGAGGACAGCACCCAGGUUAAGGAAAUAGAGAGGUACAGACAGGGUCAUAGUUUGACGAUUUUGUCAACUGUCAGUGUCCCUGGUUUUAGAGACUUUUGUAUAAACAGACUAAAAGUCAUACAAUUUUAAUCCAUUACAUAGAAAACCACUUUUCCUUUUUUUUUUCCUGUUUCUGGACAGCAUUCAGCAGAUAAUUGGCUUUCCAUAAAUUUCUUAUCUUCUUUAAUUAAAAGAACAUUUUUUAAACCAUAUGGUCAUUGCAAGAGACCUCAUUAGCUGGAGACUACAGGGGUCAGCAACAUUCAUAUAAAACCCGAAUGAAACUGACUGAAUAAAGCAGUAGGAAUUAAAUCACAGGAGGUUAUUGCAGCACUCGUAAUUCAUAACACAGAUCAACGAACAACACUGUACCAAGCAUGUAAAGAAGAAUAUUUCUAACUAAACCUAUCUCCAGAGAACCAAAGAGACAAGUCGGGCAUCCUUUUUGAGACACAACCCCUUUCUACUACUGUUAGCUUGUAUGAAAUAGGUCUGAGUAAAGCCUAAAAUGAGGAUAUUUAGGGCACUUUUAAGGCAAGAGAAAAAGAACCUGCCAGUUCAUAAUUAGCGUCUUGAAUAAUUUAAACACUUGAGUCUGAAUGAUGCAAGAAAACAUUUCUUUUUUAACCAGUUUUUGCCCAAUUUGCAAAUACUCAAUAAAUGCAAAUGAGAAAUGCCCCCCAUCUUGAGACCUUCAUCCUACGACCCUUGAUUUCACAUAACUUUGCUAUUGCUAUCACUGUUGCGAUGCGUUAUUUGCCAUUUAAUGGGAAGUUUUUUAUAAAGGGAAAAUAUUACUAGUAGAGAAACCAAAAUUGGCACAAAGGUGUUCACUGUAGUCCUAAGACGUUUAGAAUAGGUGUGGUCAGGGGGUGAAGCUUUAGAGUCAAUCUGUUAUGCCCAAAAUUAAAUAAAUAAAAUAAUUAAAAAAUAAUUAAAUAAAUAAAAAACUGCCACAGCACCAUAACUAAGCUGGAGAUAUGUGUUUUGCGCUUUGAGGGUCUCUGAUAAAGCGCUAUAUGAAAUCUGAUGCAUUAUUAUUAUUAUUAUUAUUAUUGUCUACACCUCAAAAGGGUCUUUAGAACCCAUUUGUAAAACCAUGAAGGUCCACCAUUUUCCAACUUUUGUUACCUUGAAACAGGAAGUAGUAAUUUGAAGGGGUUAAAAUGCUUGUAGAGUCACCAAAUGGGGUAUACUUGAAUUUAAUGGAAAAAUACAAUUUGAUAUGAUAUUGUUUGAUAUGGGUCUAGUAGAGAGGAGUGACUUAGUGCAUCAUUGAACCAUGGUCAGCUUCCAAAGCUCAGAAAAAUUAGCUCCCAAAUCACAUUUGAUACUGGGGAAUUUUCCUUUUUUGGGCUAAGGUCUUGUGCACUGAUUCACAAAGAGUCUUUCAGAUCCAUGUCAUAAAACUAAUCGUAAGUCUGGAGUUUUGGUUAAAAACGGCUAAUUGCCACAUUGUGCAUCCCAUAGAAGCUUGAUUGGAUUGAGAUCUGGGGAACUUGUAGGCCAAGUCAACAUCUUAAACUGAUAGUUGUACUCCUAAAACCAAUCCCGAACCAUUCACUUGGUGUCAGGGUGCUUGAUCCUGUCGAAAGAGGCCACAGCUAUCAGGGAAUACUGUGUCCAUGAAAGGGUGUACAUGGUCUGUAACAAAGCUUAGGCAGCUGGUUCAUGUCAAAAUAACAUCCACAUGAAUGGGGACCCAGGGUCUCCUAGCAGAACAUUGCCUAAAGUAUCCCACUGCCUCAUCUACCUUGCCCUCUUUCCUAAGUGCAUGCUGGUGCCAUGUGUUCCCCAGGUGAGCCACAAUGGCCCUUGUCAUACUCACUCAAAUCCCUACGUCAACUUUCAUCAAGUUUGAGGACAAAAUGUUCCCUUGGUGCCUAAUAUAUCCCACCCACUAACAGGUGCCAUGAUGAGGAGAUAAUCAGUGUUAUUCACUUCACCUGUCAGUGGUCAUAAUGUUAUGCCUAAUCAUCGUACAUCUGUGUUCACUUACUGUCAUUAGGCAGUGUCACAUCAGAGGUAGUUCCUGUCCAUGAUUUCUUUUCAACCAAUCAUAAUCGAGCAUAGCUAACAGCAUUAGAAAUAAAAGAAAAAUUACAAUCAAAAUUAAAUUCCUCUGUUGUUUUUUACAUCAUAAACACAGAAGAGACAAAGAAUUCACAGCAGACUCUGUAAAUGGAUCACCAGAUUUUUUUCUCCCUUGCCUCUCAUGCAGAACUUCUGUAAACACGGCCUAAUUUCCAAGCAGCUGAAGGAAAGACCCGCAGAAAAUCUGACUGGAUAAUAAAACUGCAAAAAGCAAAAGUUCAGAGAGGGACAAGUUCGAUGCAGGACAUGAUACAAAAGUUGUUACUGUGUUAGUGUGUCAGAGAAAUGUAUAAUUUAGUGUUAAAUGACUGAGUUUGAAAGACAGCAGCAGCAGUAGUUAGUUUCCAAGUGCUAAAGUGUGUGGAUGUACACAUGUGUGUGUAUUUGUGUAUGAGUGUGUUUCUCCUGAGGCCUGCAGACAGUUGAGCUCUGCAGUGAACUGUUGUGACAAAGUCAUUGCUCAUUCUGGUGUUUGAGCCCUGCGCCUGUUCCCACUGCCAGAGAUGAUGUCUUUGUUAAAGGGCAGGUUUCAUUAAUAUUGGAACAAAGUCAUUGCUGGCAAAGAUUAAAAACCCAAGGAAAGGAUAAAUAAAGCUUUGUUGAAUAAUGCAGCAAAUGAAUAAUUCAGCUGUGGGACACACGGCUGUGUGAAACUGGAAACUAUCUAAUGUGGAAAUUAGGAAUGUGCCUUUAUUUGUACAUUUUCAAUCUCAGCUUUUCCUGUGCAGUGUCCUGUUGGCGUGUGAUAUGACAAGCCUUUGGAGUGCUUUGCAUUGCAUAACAAGCAGGCAGAGUUCAGGCUUGUGUUUUUGAAGCCAGGCAUCAAAACAGUUGUAGAGGAGAGGGAGUGCCUGCCUAAUUAACCCAACAGCUUUAACUACGGAGGAAGGAAUCUCUGAAAGAUCUCUGAAAACACCCUUCAGCUUACACCGUGUGAGCCGUCUUUUUAUCCCACUCCGAACUCUGACAAUGAUUCAGAAAGGUGUAAUUGUGUAGUAAAUGAGAACGCGGGUGAGGCUGAUUAAAAAUCAGUGUGUCACCCGGUCUCUAAACUUCCCACUGUCACUGGAGUGUGUGAGAUACAAAUCCAGGAAAAAGUGUGUGUGUGUGUUCAGAAAGUCCUCUGAACACAGCUGACACUAAAAAAAUAGGUCACAUCUUACACUUGUUACAACAAAAGCUGGCCUGAUGAGGCAGUUGCCAUGGAAACCAUUGUCUCUGUCAUGGUGGUGUUGUCGUACAUUAUGUUUUUUCUUGACAGGAGUUUCAUUUACAUACAGUAUACUAUAUUCCCACUUCAAUGGCAUGAGAUCCAGCGAAUCUGUCGAUCUAUUGGAAGAAGUUCCCUUGGGGUCAAUUAAAGGGAUAGUUCAGUUUUUCUGGAGUUGUUUGUGUUAGUUUUAAUAGUUAGUACAUAACCUCAGCAGGGGCUAGUCACGUCAGCCUGUUUGGAGGGAAAUCAAUGGGAGAAAACAAAAAACAAACAAACAAAAAAAAAAAACAAUGAGCCAACAGCUGCAGUAGACAAUGCCAGCUUUACCAAGUUAUUUUUCAAAAUUUAAUCCAACCAAAAGGUCUGACUGUAAAUACUAUGGACAACUUGGCUCAGCCUUCCAUCAUUAUACGAAUUUGAAGCCAAAUUGCUCUCGGUAUUUCCAGGAUUUUCUCCACUUCUUAGAACCACCACUUGUGCAGUAGCAUUAUACACCUUCCACGAGAGAGUCGCUGUGAUGAUGCUCUGCUCGAACAGCGUAUCCCCGGGUGAGCUACGCAAUCUUCAUAUGCCUAUAGGCUGUAUCAAGUGUCAGUCAUGGAAAACAUGAACCCCUAAUAACUUUUACUUUUAACUUUUAAGAAUAGAGCUGUACAGAAAAAAGAGGACUUGGGCACAAACUGGUCUGACGAUAACUACAUGUCAACAUCACAACCAGGUGGGAGAAUAAAUUAGAUUCUGUGUAAUUGAUUUCUAAAUUUUGUCUACAGCUUCAUAGGGAUUGCUGGAGGAGGCGGGAUUUAUGACCUGUACUGCAGCUUGUCACCAGAGGGUGCUGUUCUCAUGGUGGCUUCACCCAGCAAGAAGACAGAUGGCGUCCAUUCUAUAUACAGCCAAUGGGUCAGACAGAGAAGGAGCUAGAUGUCAAGCUGUGAGGUUUAAGUCGUUUCAAAAUGUAUGUCUGAAAUGCGUUUAAAUAUGUUUGAAUUGUUUGACUUAAGUAACUGAAAAAUCUUUAUCUGUUUUUACCAGAUACCCACCAAAGUUGUGAGUCAACUCCAAGAAUGAGCAAACCAUUACAAUCCUUGAAUCUAAGUCUCACAGGUUCAGCAGCUUUUUGCUGUGUAGCAUAUUUAGUGGACCAUAAAAAAUAGUCAAAUUUUCGUCUCUUAUUGGACAGGAGGAUCCAUUUCUCUUGUUCACGAUGAAGAACAGCUCUGAAAGUUUCUGAGACAGUUUUAUUCAUGUUGUAAAGAACAGGAUGUCCUCCUGGAGAGAACAGAUCGUGAAGACUCAUAAAAACUCAUCUAAGAGCUGGACUGGUACAGUCCGCUCCGAGGAGAGAGAGGGAAGGGGCCCUGUGUGAUAGCCCAGCUGUUUUUUUCAUUGACUGGAUAAAAUGCAGAGAACCGAGGAGAUUCAUCUUGCCAAUAAAAACUGAAGACAGGUAAACAAAUCAAAGGGUUUUAAAUCACAGUCCAUCAAACCAUCAGGCCGGCUGCUCAUCCAUGAUAACUGCAGAAGUUUGGAGCUGAUGCUCAAAAAUCAGUUGAAAAAGUGAUAGAGAGAAAAAGAGAGAAAAUGGGAACAUGAUGUUAACUGUGUGAAGUUUACAAAAGGGUAAAAGACAGUGAAGAUGGAAUAAAGGACAUUACACACCGGCGAAUUAGCGAAGUUUGCAAAGCGAAUACUUUACUUUUUUUUAAACUUCAUAAAGUCAAUGCAAGCUUCCACACCGGCUACGAACUUCCACAGAGUAAAAAAGCGACUGUAUUUUUUUCACCACUGUAGAAAAUUUUGCAAACACUCACAGGUGAACUGCUUUAUAAAUCUAUAGCCUAAUAUCAAUGACAGACAUGUAGUGCACUGUUGCUCUGGAUCAAUUGGUUCUCUGUAAUUGUCACAAUUUCUCCGGAUACAAUGAGCUCCUUGAUCGUUGUGUGGUGCUCCGCCAUCUCCUGUCGCAAGGUCAGCAUUGGAUGUACCCAGACACUUUGAUUCUUCUUUUUCUUUAUUAUUUAAUAGGCUUACAACCAUAACCAGGUCAUCACCACUUGAGGAUAUAGUCGCCAUUGUUUCUCCUCCUUCUCUCUCCCCCCUGUUCUCCAGUGGUGUAUUUUUAUGUAAAUAUGCUUAUUGUAUUCACGUCGCAUCAGGUGUGUAUAGGAAAAGGCGUAAGAUAUUUAGCAUUUUUGUGUUGCUUUUUUUGCGUUGCUUCGCUUCAAGUCCUAAAAGAACUGGCUGCAUGGGUACAAGUAUCUAUCUACCAAACAAACAACAGUUUGUGGACUGCCAUGCAAAUGAGGGGUAAAGGGUGUAGCUAUUUUUCUUUGCUGCUCUUCGUGGGAAGUCCUUGUGAGUCACAGCCAUCUGAACAGCAAGUUAUACAAAAUCUGUGUAUAAAAGUAGAUAUAUGCUAAAACAACAGUGCGUGCUCGAAACUUACUUUGAAGAAGCUCUACCCUCCAAGUUUUCUUUUGUUUUCUUUAUUAACCUCUGAAAAUUGAACAAGGUAAAAUAGAAAACUAUAGAUGGUGAGGAAUGCAGCCUGCAUCACUGCUCUGUCUCAGCAGAUAUGGUGUAAAGGGUUACAUAUCCUAUUCACCUAACUACACCAGAAAACUGCCUUAGUGGGAGAGGCCAGGACUCAACAGGUCAGAGGAUUUUCAGAGCUCACAGUGGACGUUGAAAACCACUGAAUCUGUAUUUAACAUGGGAAAACCUUGGUCUCAUGACUCCAGCUGACCUCCGGCAGUGCUUCUCCAUGCUGCUGUCUGAAAGCGCAGCCGGUGGGUGUUGAUGGACAAGUAGGCACUGAGCCAAAAUGGACCAAACAUGAAUCUAAAGGGAGUGUAGUAUCGCAGUUUGGACACCUGAAGUUUCUCCCCUAUUUACUUCACUCUAUUUGGUGUCGUGCUUCCUAAAUAUGUCUUCUUACAUUCACAGUAAACAACAUGUCAUGGUUGCAGUCAGAAUAUUUAUGUUGGUUGUAUUUUGGUCUUGUUCAAACCCUAUAGAGCAGAGCAGUGGAUCAGUGAGCUGCAUGAAGGGAAGCACAUGUACCAUUGAGGAUUGUGCUCAGUAAAGGUCAUAGAGAUAUACAAUUGGACAUCACUCUCCCUUCUGGGCAGAGCUGUUUUCAUCAUACAAAGGUGCCAAAACUUUCAUUUGUCACCAAAUGCUCUACUGGUCCCUGUGUUUUCUGUAACACCUGUGCUGAACGUUAAAACAAACGCAGGCAAGAACAGCAAAGCUUGGUGUGUAAAAACAUUUCCCUUCCUCCAACUUCAAUAAAAACCUCCCCUUCUUUCCUGGCUCGACACCAAUUGCUUCCACUGGCGCUAUCAAAGCAGCUGGAGUUGCUUCAGUAACAUCCAAUAUUAACUCAUAAUAAUGCUGAGCUGGAGAAUCUCCAAGAUAGGACAACAAUUUGCUCACAAAGAGAUUAGGGCUACUUGUGCAGAAUAAAUAUGUGAAUAUAACAGAGUACAGACCAUUAGACAUGCUCAACACAGUUAGAGCUGCAAACAAGCCGGCAGGGCUGCUGUGUGUCACCGCUCCAUUGUCUAUACUUACUCCCUUAAGGUACAUUGCAGGGAAAUUAAACUUAAUUAUUCUGUUUUAACAUAAUGUCAUGGAAAGACAAUUACAGUGGGCUGCUGGGUGGAGAUAGAACCACCACUGGAAGCUGCCAAAGACAGAAACUUUUUUUUUUUUUUUUUCCCCUGUUUCUCUGCAUGGAUCGCUUUGUGUGUGACACUCCAUCUUCAGCUGGUAGCACUGACAGCUGGGCAGUAACUGCUGACACAGCCAGUUUUACUCCAAAGUCAUCAAAUAUGACAGACUGUAUGAGGCUGAACAUGAAAGAAAUGGAUUACCGGGGAGUUGGCUGCACAAAAAACGAUUAAAACAAAACAGCAGUUCCUCGAACAUCCACUUGAGGUUGGCCCCAGAUAAAAAAAAUAAAAUAAAAAAAAAGUGGGAUGGAUAAAUUACUUGUGACAGUGUAGCUAUCUGAGAUAUGGAAUACAACAACAACAAACAUACAGGGGACCUGCUCCUACAUAGAUGGAAAAGGGUUUUUCUAACAUGUAAUUGUUUUUAUUCAACCUUUUCAAAUUGUGUUUCUUUAAAAAAAAAAAAAAAAGAAAAGUGCCUCCACAUGACUAUGAUAACACAAAGUAAAGCUGAAAUAAUUAUCAUUUAACAUUGUCCAAAUUAUAGUUGGUAUUAUUUAAAAAACAACAACAAAAAAAAAAAACAUUUUUUUUCUGUAUUUUCAUAGACUUUUGUUCUUCUUGAUUUACUUGGAUGUAAUGUUUAAAGCUUUAAAGCACAUAUGUAAAUAGUUCUGAAAGUAGUUUUUCCAAGCUAGUUCAUUUUAGUAAGCUCUAUUGCAUCCAUAGACUAUAUAUACUAUGGACAACUUGGUUCCGUCUUUAGUCAUAAUACAAAUUUGAAGCCAAAUUGUUCUCGGUAUUUCCGGGAUUUUCUCCACUUCCUGAAACCACUACUUGCGCAGUGACAUUGUAUGCAUUUGGCAGGAGAGUCACUAUGCUAACACUCUGCUCAAACAGCAAGUCGUUAUAAGUUGUUGUAGUUACAAGUCUUUUAGUAACUACAUGUCAACAUCGCAACCAGGGAGGAGAAACAUUUAUAUUCUGUGUAAUUAAUUUCUGAAGUUUGUCUACAACUCCAUAGGGAUUGCUGGAGGAGGCGGGAUUUAUGACCUAUACUGCAGCCUGUCACCAGAGGGUGCUGUUCUCACAGUGGCUUCACCUAGCGUGGAGGCAAAUAGCGUCCAUUUUAUAUACAUCCUAUGGUUGAAUCUCAGUAAAAUAGGAAGCAUAGUUAUUUUCAUGACUGAAACAGCAUGUUUUCAGAUUAAAAAGAAAACAUUUGAAUUUUAUACAAAAUGAGCAGAUAUUACAAUCAAACGAAGUUUAUUUCACAAUGAUUUGAUUUUUAGGUAUGCAGCUGUGCAGCUUUGCACAUGUAGCUACAUCUAGAUAUUGUCAUAUAUUGUUACCCAUCUGGUUUCUCCUCCUCUGGCGAGGGUUACGAGGUUGUCACACUUCCUCAUUAUGAUCGGUCAGUAACAGAGAGGUGACGAUUAUGGGCGCAACAGUUUUCUACAAGAUGAGCUAUUUUCAGCUGAGAGCACUCAGAGAGCUGAGAUGAAAAGCAGCUGACACUGAGUGCUACGAACGCUACACUGCAUUAGUUUAGUCAAGGACAAAGGCGCUGCCAGUGUAAAGACAGCGUUAAUGGGCACAGACCCUUACCUUGCUAAUGACACACUCACACACACAUAUACGCCUUAACUAUUUGGGUCUCUACUACUCUGGUGACUAAGUCCUAAAGCAGGGUUUCUCUUAAAACGCUGCAGACCAUAAUCGGUAUUUCAAAACAGAAAUUUAUGGACACUUUUAUGAGACGACAGGGUCUAUCAAAAGUCUGUGUUUGGGGACCACUUGUAGGCUAUCCCCCACAGUAAAAGGAGCCACGAGCUGGACUGUGGUGAUCCUGAGGUGUAUGAGACCAAUGUGGCUGACCCCCCUCCCUUCAUCCCUGCUGGGAUGUUGUAUCUGUUUCUGAGACAGAGGGAAGAGGUCUUUAUCCUCAUUGGCUGGGAUCCAGGAGGUCUGUGGAGGAGGUAUAUUUGUAGUUGGUUGGUUAGAAGGAGUCUGCACCUCCCAGUGGCCUAAACCAUGAAGACAUGAGACAGACCUUGAUUUUUGUGAGGAUCUGGAUCACAUCCAGCACACCGGCAUUGCUAAAGCUGUGAAAACUGUCAUCAGAGAGCUUCUUUCUGAUCAGCGAUAUCAAGUGUCAGUACUUACUUUUAGUUGUCACUUGAUUUGAGGUGUGUUCAAGGACACCUUUUUGAUUUUUGCAACUUAAUAAAACUUUAAAUGAGAUUGUGAAGCUGUAAAAUCCAAGGAGUGUCCCAUGAGGGACAUCAAAACAGGAAGAAGGUGGGAUAUAACAUCAGAAUACAGGAGACAUAUGAGAAAAAAAACAGGAGCAUUGGAAAGUGUGAUGUGGUGACUAGAAAUAUGAGCCCUUCCAGGGACGAUUAGGUCUUGCACUGAGUUAAUGUUCUCCAUAAAGUAAAGAGAGGCCCAAAUUGGCGCAAAUUUAAAUGUAUUCUCUUUGAGCAAUAUGAGGAAGUUUAAACUGUGGAUUAUUGGUAGCUUACAGGAAUAAAUACACCCCUCCCCCCCAACGCCUUCGUUCAGAAUCAAGCAAUCAUGUUCAAACUCAUGAAGUCAGUACACACCUACCAUGAUUUAAAGUGCCUCUGAUUAACCAAGAAUAAAGUCCAGCUCUUCUUCUAGCAGGCUUUCCUUACAUUCUCUUGGUCGCCUCUUACUGCGAAGCUUUGAAAGCAUCCGCGGAAUCUCGUUGUUCAAAGGUAUCAACUAGGAGACGGGUACAAAGGAUUUCCAAGGAAUUAGAUAUAUUCCAGGAACCACAGUGAAGACAGUCAUCAUCUAGCAGAGGAAGAAUGGCUCAAUAGGGGCAUUACCAAGAACUGGACGUCUCUUCAAAAUUGAUGAAAAGAUGCGAAGCGAACUCAGCGGGGAGGCUACCAAGAGACCGACAGCAACAUUAAAGGAGCUGCAAAAAUUUCUACAUGUGACAAAAAUCUCCUGUAAUUUUCUAAAUGUCCGGGCUACAAGAAAAAAAAAAAACAAUAAAGCGUGGUUAAAUUUUGCAAAAACCCAUUUGAAUUUUUAUGAAAGCAUGAGGGGAAUAGUGAUGGGCACAGCAAUUCUUUUAGAUGUACUUAAUCACUGGAAUGAGUUCACUAAAAAGAUUUGUUUAAAAAAUUUGUUUACCAAAUCACUGAAUCAUUUAGCACUUGGCGGGAGAAGCCUGCGACUCCGACCUCCUGAACUGAUACACAGCUGAACAUUUGAGGAUUCAGUUCAAUUCAUUACUUCUGGGACUGGUUGAUGAGAGUGUUUGGCUGUGUUGCUUUGACAAAAUGAACUUGUUUAUAAGUCAUGAUGUUUAAAGUGUACUGUCCUAUGGUGUGCUAUUUGCCAGGUCUGCUUGGUAAAUUGGGCUCAGUGAGUGAUUCGUUCACUGAAUGUUUAGAAGAAGUCACACUGAACAUGCACCGUUCCCUCACAAACCACUGCAAUGAUAGGACAUGUCCUAUUGUAUUCAAGUUGUUGUGGUGGCAAUAUAGCAGUGAAAAAAAAAGUAGUUUUGUUUGAUAAAAAUGAUUCCUGAGAGUGUAGUUCAAUACGUGAUUCGUUUACCAAGUGAUUCAGGCGUUGGUGGAUGGGGUCCCUUGAUUGCUGGCUGUUGGCCUGGCAAUGCAGUUUCUCACUUCAGCUCAACUGAAUUGAAACACGAACGAAUCACUUGGGGAAGUGAUUUGGUUCAGUAUGUUCACUUAAUAGAUUUGGUUCAUUUGAACGAACCAUUUGCAAAUGACACAACACUAUUGGGAAAAUGUAUUAUGGUCUGAUGAAGCCACGGUUGAACUUUUUGGCCAUAAUUCCAAACAUUUGGCUUAAAAACAAUUCUGGAGAUCACCACAAAAACAGCAUUCCCAGAGUGAAGCAUGGUGGUGGCAGCAUCGCGCUUCUAGGCUGUUUCUCUCAGCUGGAACUGGGGCUUUAGUCCAGGUGGAGGGAAUUACAAACAGCUUCAAAUACCCGUCAAUGUUGGCACGAAACCUUCAAGCUUCUGCCAGAGAGAGGAGGAUGAAGAGGAACUUCAUCUUUCGGUGCUACAACCACCCAGAGACAGCUCUAUCUGAGACUACACAUCCUAAUGAAACUGAUAAUAAUAAUAAUGUGUGUUUGAGAAUGAUCUCACCAAUCAAUUACUUGAUGCUAUAUUAACAUCCCGAGUUCAAACAAAAUCUACAUUUCAUUGUCAGGCAGAAAGUUGUGCGUCAGCCUCCAGUUCACAGACUCUGUGUACGAUGAAGUAAUUCACAGAGAAUAAUUCAAUAUUCUUUGGUGCUCAAAAUGAAAAUUCAAAUGAGAGGUGGAAAUAAUAUUGUGCAUAUAUUGUUAGUGAGAAUAUUGACUUUAUCUGUCAAUAGAAUAAGCUCUGCUUUAUUGCCUUCGAUAUACCAGAGGGCCAUAUAUUUGGUACUCCCCUCCAUAUAUAAACAGGGAGCACAUUAUCUGGUCAGCGAGUGAAUGAGCUUUAAAUAUUUAACCCGAUCACUCUGUUGAUCUAAAUGCCAUUUUCACGAUUCACCGUCUCUGUGAGCUCUAAAAACCCUCUUUUUCCAUCUCUUGUUAAGAUUCCAGACCUGUCUCUGCAGUUUUCACCUAAAAUACCCAGGAAGAGCAUCCCGUCACCGGGGGGGUGAUUUUUGAUCCAGCACACACCACCUCGUCUGCAGUGUCACCUCAUUGACAGCGAACAGAGGAAACAACUGAGCGGCUCGGGUGUAUUUGUUGUCCAAACUACCCACUGAAUCCCCAGUGACAGUCAGAGCUGCAGGCUCCUCUCAGGCUGUGGUUAGGGACUGUUUGGAAAUGACUGUGUAGGGAGGCGGCUGAAAGGCAGGGAUUUUAUGGAGAGAUGCUCCUCAGUGCUGUUGAUAUUUCUGAGUAUUUCUGUUGACUUCCUGAGAAGACUUGAGUGCAGAUUGUACUUUGGUACAGCAGGGCUUUAAGUUAAAUACUCAUCAGUCAUCAACCUAAAAUCCCUACAUGAUGAUAAGCAGGUCUAAAAGAUACUAUUUGUCUAUAGUAAUGGGAGGAGAGGGGUGGGGGGUUGAAAAUGGGUUACGCAUGGAUUGCUAAAUAAAUGAACUUAGGCAAGGUGUGCCCAAACAAGCAGGGGUGUGUCAAGACCAUAGACUGUAUAUAUUUUGGAAAAUUUGGUCCCGCUUUCCACCAGGAUAUGGAUUUGAGGCCAAAAAGCUCUCGGUAAUUCCGUGUUUUAUCUCCAUUUCCUGAAACCAACAUUGCGCAGUAGCAUUGUACGCACUCCACCACUUGCGUAGUAGUGUUGUGCGCAUUCGGUGGGAGAGUCGCAGAGAGUUGCUGUGAUGAUACUCAGCUCAAACAACGAUCCCUUGGGUGAGCUACACAAUCCUUGGACACUUAUAGGCUGUAACAGGUGUCAAUCAUAGAAAACUUAAACCCCCAAAUAACUUUUAAAAAUGGAGCUGCACAGAAAAAAGAGGACUUGAGCACAAACCAGUCUUACUGUAACUACAUGUCAACAUCGCAAGCAAGGUGGGGGGAAAAUGUAUAUUCUGUGUAAUAAAUUUCUAAAGUUUGUCCACAACUCUGUAAGCUUUGCUGACAGAGGCGGGAUUUGUGACCUAUACUGCAGCCUGUCGCCAGAGGGCGCUGUUCUCACGGUGGCUUUACCCAGCCAGUAGGCAGAUGCUGUCCAAUCUAUAUACAGUCUAUGGUCCUUUUUUGAGUGAGGUGGCCUAACCCAAACAAAUCACUGCCAGGGUGGCUUUUAGUUUGUGAGCCCACACACCUAAAAUAUUUAUAUAUUUUUUCUUAUUGCAUCUGUGUUGAAAUACAGACCAUAUGGUUCAUUUUAACAGAAGCGUCUCUUAGGACAAGUUACAAAAUUAUGAAAAAAAAAUGAAAUACUAAAACGAACAAAAUAAGUAAAUACAUGAAUAAACAAUCAGCCUUAAAAACUAAUCCAAACCAAACUGAAAUCAAAAAUAAAAAGCCAAAAAGAAAUAAUAAACACUGAUGGAAAUUUCAAAACCAGUAUAAUCUUAUAAUGAAGCUGAUUAACUAUUUCUCCGGGAUGUGGUUCUUCUUUUGGAUUUAUCUGCUUGUGUGUUUGCUGUGCUGUAAGCGUACUCUACAGUGUCUGUUAGCUGAGAAAUAAUUACUCAAAUAUCAUACUGUGAUUUCAUUAUCAUGAUAAUAUGGUAUCAUAGGGCCACUGGUGAUUUCCAGCACCCAGUGGACUGCUGGAUUUGUACUUCUACGUGUUUGUAAGUAUAAGUAAAAUUUCCAUAUGCAUGAUUUAAUGAGGAGAAUCAAGACCUGGCACAGCGACAGACAUUACCCUGUAGCAUUACUGCUGUGCUCGUUUUGUGACGGUUUGUUCUACUUUAAUAACAUAUAUUUUUCUUUUUUCUAUGAUGUAACUUCCCCACAUUCCCCUGGAUUCCCGUUCGACUCUGGCAGGAUAAUGUACAGACCUGAAUCUCAGCUGUAAAACUGGAACACUCUCAGUUUCUUCCCUUGAUGCCCAAGUCACGCAAUGAAAGAGUGUGUGAUCAUACCCACAAUGCCCUCUGUCUCCCUCUGCCUCUAUUUCUCCAUCCUGAAUUCUCUUUCUUUACUCUCUCAUCUCAAUCAAUAAGUGUAACUCUGCCCACAGAGAGACCCUUAGGCUCCUUCCUUCCAUUGCACAGAGUUAAAGCCUCAUGGUCUGUGUGUCCACACACACAUUUACCACCAGGGUUUUCCCUGCUUUCUGCCUCCUGCCUUCCAUCCCUUUGUUUCCCUCUCUUUGUACUCGUCUUUAAAAAUACAUAUCCCUAUCAUCUUCACAUGCUAGCUGCAGAGAGCCAUCACAACAACCUCUGGCAGGUGCUUUGUUCCUUUCAUUUUUUUUUUUGCAAAAGCACGCUCACUUUUCACCGCAAAGUCCUCUAAAGUGGUCAUGCUGUCAGCGCUGAUGUUUGCCGCUGCCUCUGGAAGCAACAUUUUCAAGUUCUACAGUCGAGGUCGAACACCGAACUGAUGAGGGGGAUGCAGUGUUUUUGUUUCGAACUUUUGAGUAAUUUUUAAGUAUUUUCUCAAACGUGCUUUUUUUUCCCAGCUCAUGGCCAGUUUGGGGGCAACUCCACCCGGUGCAGGAGGACAUCAGAUAAUAUAGAAGUAUGUGGAAAAGUAAGCCAGCCUCUCAAUGAUUUACAUUGAGAGGCUGAUUUAAAAACAUUUUCCUAAAGGCGAAUGCUACUUUCCUUUUCUUACUUUGAGAUCAGAUUUUCACCUUAUGAUUGUCAUGGCCAUAGAAAAUCAAUUCAUAAAUAAAACUAUAUAAAACUUAUAAUCAUAACUGCAUCAUUACCUCAAAAACAGUUGUUGUGUUUCAUUUAAUCAUUUUUAUGUCUUGAGUUUAGGUUCACACUGUGCUUUCGAAGUACACUAGUUCACACUGAACUGAGAUAAAACAAAGGGGAAAAAGUAACCAGCAGAAAUGACCAGUGCUAUGAGCUCAUUAUUGGCACUGUAUCAGAACUUUAAAACGGACAUAUUACAGCCUCAGUUUGAUUAUAAGAUCAUCCUGGUUUUAUCACAGUGCUGACUUUUCCUCAUGUAUUUCUGGAAAAAGACCAAAUUUGACUUUUAUGGUGAAAAACUUAGUUGAUGUUUUUUACACAUUUAAAGCUCUUAUGAGGGAUUUAUUGUCUGUUUUGAUUUUAAUGUAGUUGCGUUUGGCAGCAGGUGGGCAGCAGUCUAAGCAAGUCAACCCAGACAUCUCUCCCCAGCAACAUUUUCCAACAUCUCGAGGUGUUCUCAAACCAGAUGGGAUUUAUAAUCCCUCCAGCAAGCUCUGGGUCCACCCUGAGGCCUAGAGUUGGACGUGCUGUGAACACAUCUUCAGAGAGGCAUUGGGGAACCCUGAUGAAAAGACCGAACCACCUCAAGUUAUCCUUUUUCUCUCUAAGCUCCUUCUAGAUAUCCAAGAUCAUGACCUCAUCCUUACCUGAUGCAAAUAAAAUCAUUUGUGCCAGUGAAAUAUAUGUUGAGUCAACGUUAAGAGACUGACAGAGCUGGAUUCCUAUCAUGCAAUGCUGAUGCAGAAAUUGCAUCGAAAUCCGCACCGUUGGUGUAUGUCAUCAAUGGCUGGAAGUUCACCUCCUGGAAAAUAGAUGAUAGACUGAUAGUGACAAUGUUUGGCAACCCUGAGCUACCACUGUGACUUGUAUUUUCCUAAAAACAAGAAUAAAAAGAAACUUACUUAAAGGAAAGUGAGCAAAGAGAUCAGAUUAUCCACAACAAAUCCUUACAACAUAGUUAACCUCAACUGUGUUUGAUGUAAACAGACUGAAACGGUGUGAAUAAAACUCCUGCUCUUUUUGAAUGAAUUCACAUCUUUGUGCUCUUGCAUGGACACCAUAUGGAUUUUUAAAGAAGUGACUUAUUCAAAUGAAUUAAACAUGAAAGCCAACACAUAUUACGCAUCAUACAAAUCCUUUGUUUUUUGUUAACAGUAAAAACUUGACAAAUUCAUAUCGUACAUAACUGGAGCUUGCCCUCGAAGGACUUUGUCUUUUCAACAAUGGAAGGUCAGAGGGAACCUAGAAUUUCAUCACUAUAUAUUUCUAAAUAUUCACAUUUUACACAUUGAACCUUUUAAGGCUCAUUCAUUCGUGUUCUUUUCAUCCGUAUUUCUGCAUGUAUCCUUGAAGUUUACGGAUACGGGCCAGAAAGAGCGGUAUCACCAGAAACUGUGGCGGCAGUGUCGCUGCUGACACUACCCAAUAAACAUCUUUAAAGAGAAACAAAGAAGACAAUGGCGGGGCUUUUUGAGGAUCGUCAAUUUCUCUCAUCGGUACGACUAGAGAAAAGAGUUCUUGGCCCUCCAACCGCGAGGCAUUUAGUGUCCUGACCGACCACCGUCUCCUCCGAUGCUGCCUCCGUUUCUGUCUCCUAUGCCAAAUAUACAUUAUCACCAGCUCCUCCACAGUCGCCAUGUUUCUCUUUGUUUGUUGUUGUCAAACUUUUAACUCCAACCUGCCCCCUGGGGGAUGUAAUUGUUAACGUCCAUGCCAACGUAAAGGACGCAUGGAAGUAUGUGUGGCUGUAACAGAACCAUCGUUUGAAAUGGAUGCAUACAUUUCCAUAUGUAUGGCGAGCAUACAUGAGCCUUAAGCCUUCAGCAUAGAUGUUUACCUAGCAACAUCCACUCAAAAAUACAGUAAUUUAGAUUAAUAAAAUACUGCAAUAACAUUUGAUUUUCCUUGAACAUAAACUUCAUUCACAAAGAGUCAUAACUUGUAAAUGAUGAUAAUGGAGCCAACAACUUCCAAACCUUGUCGGGGUAAUCUGCUCUGAAGUAUAUGGUGGCUUUAGAAAUAAGAAAAGAAGAUGAGUGUUUUUACACAAAAGGAUGAAAUAAAUGGUAUAUCUGUUCGGUAGUCAGGAGUCAGAUCACGUGGCUCGGAUCGGCACUUUCUCUAACUAAAUUGCUUCAUCUUUUAGGGCCUUAGCUUCAAUUAGGACCUACUUUAAGAGGCUCCAUUAGUACAUCAGGCUAAUUGGCUCUUUAUAUAGUGCUCCUACAGGGACAGAACCCCUGCUAACAAAGACCGUUUCCGGGUUGUUUCAUCUCACAUUCAGCAUGGCAGCGGUCUUGCCAACAGCACUUGUCAAAGUAUAUCAAAUCUGGAGCUGAGCGACGGGAGUCAGGGCAGACAGUAGCUUCAGGGCCUAUGAUUAAUUUACACCUAUAUUCACUUAACUCACCCCCUGUCUUCUUUUCCAUCAUGGUCUCCAUCAAAUUGAUGUUCUAUCAUAAUCAACCAGCCUGAAAUAACCUCUGUGAGCCAUCUGUGAUUACUCACGAACAAUGAGGGGAGGCUUAGUGAGAAAAAAAUAAUGAUCUGGUCAGCUCUGGCAAUCUGUUACAUGAGGAGGAAGUAAGGUUCAAAAUUUCACAAUGUCCUUUAGCACAGUUUUUCACACACACAGUUUCUUUCACUCUUUGGUUCUGGAUCCUCGAAUGACCGAGGAGCAGGUUGGCUAUCUUUAAGGAUUUUCUGGGCUUCUGUGUUUUUCUCAGAGGAGCUCAGAGGGUCAAAAGGUGUGGAGUGUUUUUUUCAGAACUUUCAGGGAGAAACCUCUAGGCUUCGGUGCACAGGUGUUGUGGAAAUCUGUUUCAGGGAUGCACCACAGCAACGCUCAAACUUUUGGGGGCAUGAGUAGACAUUUACCAGAAACUUGAACCUAAACUUUGACUCAAGAAUCUGCUCUGCUUUACACUGCAGUGGUCUGAUAGAUCUUUACCUAUAUGUUGGCAAAUUUAAUGUGUGUUUUGGUUUGAAGAAGGGGCGAGAUGUCAAAACGACAGUCCGAGCAGCACAUUUCAGCGGAGUGGUGAUGUGUCGCUUGCGAACGAACCAGUUCAAAGAGCUGACUCUUUAACGUGAACGAUGGGAGCCUGCUGACCAUAGGAAAAAAAAUACAAGGCAGAAUGACGGGAUUUCUAUCUGCUUUGUGUAGGAGAGUGGUUCGAUAAGCAAGUCAGUGCAUUCAUAGGGUGGUUUCAGAGAGUUCCAAGGGUCUGUAAAUGCAAUGAAAACAACUGGCUGAAGCAAUUUACUGAUAUUGGAAAAUGUAAUUUUUACUUGUGAAUACUUCAGUAAAAAGGAUGUAUUGAAUUAUGUAAGAGGUAUGUGUACACAUACGAACAUAUCAUAAGCCAAACAACACUAAAUUUGGCAGAAUUAGAAAAUGUAUUAGCGAUAAAAAUGAGGAGUGGUUUGGGAUCGUGAGCUGAGCCAAAAGAUAUGGUUCACUAAAAAGAGCCGUAAUUCCCAUCACUAUAGCUAAGUAGACUCUGGCCAUGAGCUUCACUUUAACAUCGAAUGAUUAUGAAAAUUUAAUCUAUCCAAAUAUAACUCCUUUUCUCACAAUGUUGAAUUUUGUGUAAAAUGUCAAUAAAAACAGACAUGAAUAUUUUGCGUCUUCAAACUUUUGAGGAAGUGUCUGAAGGUGACUUUGGGCCCUUGCAGUGAUUUCCACUACAAAGUCAUGUCUGUUUUGAAUGCAGUGCUGCCUCAAGAUCAUGACAAUCUACUACAUGUUUUGAUCCUUUUACCUUUUGUGCAGAGAAUUCUCCAGAUGAUAAAACUUGCACAUGAUCACUCAGAUAAGAGAUCUAAAGUUUAUAAAAACCGUACAUGUCUGUUUUGGUGAAAGUUCCACACAGAGGCCCAACCUCUCUGAACAUGGGGUUGUGUAUAGUGUAAAGCCAAAGGUAUACAAGUUUGUAAAGGGGAAAGGUGUGAUGAAAAGCUCAUGCUCAGUGCUAAUAAAGAAAAUUAAUAAGCUAAACAUUUAGCUUCACACUGAUGAGGGUCCAUCAGGUAAAGAAAACAAUCCUCUCAAUAAUAUUCUGCUGAUCUAUUCAAACACUUCACUCUCUGAGUUAAGUAAAAACUCUGACCUGACUAACUGGGGAGCAGCGAUGGAAGUCUAAAGAAGAAUCUCAGCUCACUUUUAUAGAAAUGAUAAUCAGUCUCUGAGCUGCAUAUUGAUCCAAGUAUCACUUAAGAGUUCAAUUAGACUGGUUGAGUGCGCUUAAAAUAGCCAAUUUAUUCUGCAAAUCAAAACAAGAGCAGUGUUUAAAGUAUCCGCACAAUUUAUCCUCUUCAUUUAAGCUGCCUUUGUAAUUGUAAAUCCAUUUGCAGGCUGCUUCUUUCGUCGUUGAGCAGGGAUCAUUCACAUGCUAAUUGUCUGAAAUUAGUGAAGCUUUUGAGUUUUUUCCACCCUUUUUUGAAGAGACCAGCUUGUUUUAAAAAGGAUAUGAGAAUCUUAAGAUUUCUAGAUCUUCUUACGCAAUAUCAUCCUGUCAGAUCUUGACACAAGAAAGGUAAUCAUGAUGGCUCCCUGCUUUGGUAUUUAUUCUUUCAUGCAGGUGUGUCUUAUCCCUCAAACCUGUUCCUUUGUUCAUUUUAUACAUUUUACAAAUCUAGAUGGUGAUAUGCUGCACUUGAUCUUUCACUUCAGCUUUUUAAUCCUCACAUAAUGCUUUAAUACAUCAUCUGAGUAUUGGUAUCCAGUGUUGUGCAGACUAAACUGGUGCGGUCACUUGUUAGUAACUUUUUCUCCUUUAUUAGAUUAUAAAUCUUUCAAUAAGAGAAAUCCUUGGAAUCAUUUUGGGUAAAUAAGCCACUGUAAGUGCUAGUUUCAUAGAAAAAUCUCAUCAACUUAAAAUACCAAAUCGCUAGACCAUGUUGGUGGUGCCUCUGUGGGCAAAACUGCCAUAGCUGUGGGUCUGAGGAUUUUAAGAUGCAUCUACUCUGCCGCAGUUUUGGAGAGAGGUUCUUAUGCUGCAUUCAAGUUACCUUGGAAGUCAGAUGUCGGGGCUGGAAAUGACCUUACACCCAAGUUGAUGGUGAAACAAGUCUGAAAACCAAAAUAGGCUCUAGCUGUUAGAAUUUUUAGUCGUUGUUAGCUGCUUUUAGCUGUUGUUAGCUGUUGUUAGCUAUACCAGUUGAAAACAGCAAAUAACACAGUAUUUUAGUCUUACAAACAUCAUAGCACCGAGUCCACAGUUAGACGUUGGGCAGUACCACAUAUACCACUUGUUUAAUUUCACAAAAACAAAACAGAAGUGCUGAUAAAUAAUACAUUACGAGAGCUUUCACUGUUACUCUUUACUGUUGAUGCACUGCACUCCCAUCUUGGAUUAUGAUGUUGUCGCCAAGUCGGGGUUGGUGAGGAUCUGAUGAAUUUCCAACUGGGAGCUCAGAAAAUCCAACUUCCAAGUACAAAUGGAACGCAGCAUUCGUCUUCUGAUUCUGAGAUACACAGUCAGCACAACUUGCUCCAGCCUGCCUUGUCCCGCUGCUUCCUCCAUAACCACAUGUAUUUUCACUGAUGUCUGUGUCUUUGCUGCUGCCCUCCCUGCCUUGGCGUCUCAUCGAUGCACUUGAAAAAGUGGGGAGGUGUGCUCUGCCAGCUUCAGGCUUUGGUUUUCCAUGUAAGUACAUGAAAGAGCAGGGAGCUCUUCACUUUAGUCCAACUCAAUAGUAGUCUCCAUUUCCUUAUGAAUAUGCCUCUCAGAGCACAAUGAACUCAUAAAGCAGUCUUAUCUUAUGUACACGUUUUUAUUAUAAGGAACACAAGAUAGAGGAAAUUUGGAAAUAUAAUGACAGUCUUGCACCAAAAAGUGAAAUCCCACUAAGUUGUCUUUAUGUGCUGCAGCAGACAGGCUGUUAAAAAACUGGCAUCCCUGUUCAACUUUGUCAUGAUUUAAUAUUUAAAAACAAAACAGUUGGAAAAGUUCCUGUCCCUCUAAGGAGACAAUUAUCUUAACGCCACGGAAGAACACAGAAACAUGACUAAAGACAUGUCUGUCAUGGGUUUUCAUGAUCAAGGCUGGAAGUCUGAAAAGAUUCACUUUUCUAAUGUACAGCAUCUUAUGAGAGCAUCUUUCCACUGAGCUUUGCUGCAGUUUGUUGUCCAUUACUAACAGGAGGAAAUAUCCACUUAAAGGGACAACAUGGAUAAAAAAUGCAGAACUCGGUGGAUCUGACCCUUUUUUAACCCUCAAACAGGAUUGUGUUGUAUGUAACAAGCGUUUAUGUUUCUCUUUACAGACACUUCUGUACACUCCACUCUGCUGUGUGUUUCUGACCUUGGGCAGAGCUUGUCUUUACAGUGCCUAGCUGCCAGCAGCUGGUCGGGGUGGAUGUCUCGGAUGUCAGCGCUGACUGAUGGGCAGCUCUUAGUGAAACCCCCGCGGGGCCUCUCAGUGCUGCUCACACCCCGAGAGAUGCACACAAGACUGAUGGAAAGUCGGAGGUAUGCCUAUCGACCUGUCUGCCAUCUACACACUCUGAACCUCCCACUGCCCCGCCCUCCACUACAGAGCCAUUGUAUGUUUGUGUCAAUGUGAGUGUGCAGAGCCUUCUCUAAGUGUACCACCUACACUACUUUCUUACUUUGUCUGGCUGUCUGUGUUAUUUUCAAUGAGUGGGUAGAGUCUUUCUGAGCAAGAGUCAUCGGAAAACUGCAGUUCCUUGUUCUGUGUCCACUUGGGGGCUAUCUCCAAAAGCUAAAAAAAUGCCAAUAACAGCUCAUACUAGAAUCAUUUUACAGUAGAGUCAGCUGGAUUUACUCAUGACUACUGAUUGCAUUUAAACCUGAAGCGGGGGUUAGUUUGACUGACCAAUGGGCGCAAUAUGUCUGGUGACUGAAAUAUGGCCUCAGCUUAGAAAUGAGGACUUGAGUUUGACUCUUGAACUUGAGUUGCACUUUACUCAUAGAUAACUUUCUCUUGUAUUUUUGUCUUAAUAUUACUAGAGCUCAAUCACAUACCCUCUUAAUUAUAAUCUUCCUUCUGGUGCACUUCCAGCCUCUUCAUCUGCUGCUACCAAAGCACAGUAUUUCUCACACAUAGUAUGCAACUAAGAAGGGUGAUUAAGUAUGUACUGACUGUUUUUACUCAUUUUUCAUCCACAUAAGAGUGAUCCAAGCGGGAAAGAGAGAGAGACACAGUUGAUCCCAAAAGAAAAGAUAUACCUUCUCAGACCGCUGUUUUAAAAGUUUUGUACUGCUGGUCGCUGUUGCUCUUAGUUUUGAAUUGCUAUCACAACAGAGCCCAUACACUGAUUAUCUACUGGAAUAAUGAAACAUUCAUGAGUUGUGUUCAAAAGUUUGUGAUCCAGCUGAUGAGUUUUUCUAAAAGAUUGGAAAUAAAAAGACAAAAAGGCACAAGAAGUCAUGGUGCUGCUAAAAAAGGAGAGCUUUGAGUGUCAGGGGCAGAUUUAGGGCUUACUCGGGAUCCGGAGUACGCCAAUUCCUACCGGAUCUGUUUGUGAGACGAAUUUCUUGGCAGCGGGCAUCGCAAGAACUUACAAGAACCUGCGGAUUCACGUGCAAUCGCGCGAUAACAAAUUGUCUUUAGCCACAGAGGCUAACCAUAGAAGCAGUAGAUUGUCCUUCCAGAAGAGGAAAUCUACUUCUAAACUUCUAAAAUUAGCAUGUCCUCAUCCAUGGUGUCAUCGGGAUGAAAUGCUGUCUAUAAACCUUUCACUUGUUGGUCCCCGCCCAUUUGCAUGGUGUGAAAUACGAUCUGCCUGAAACACAGAGUGUUUUGUUUUGAAAAGAAGACAGAUAUUUUAUUUUGUGUCUGUGCCCGACUUCCUUUCCAGCACAGGUUAAUCUGUGCUGAAUUUAUCCGACAUGCUCCAGUGUCCAGAAAAAAAUAGAACUCUUGCGAUCAGCUGGGGAGUCCGGCGAUUUGCAGUGGAACCGAAAGAAGCCAGUGGAAAUUGACACAUUAACUUGAAUUGUUACAAUCAGCUGCAAUCGGCGGAUAUGGCCUUUUCGUAGCCGUUACGGAUGCAGUGGAAAUUGCUGGUUAGUCUGGGGUGCCUCAGCCCCAGGGGUGCCCUUGGGUUCGGGUUAUUUUUGACUAUGUUGUUGUUUCUUGACAGUAUAAAAGAUUUGACUGGGACUUCCUGGUGCACUCAGAGACUGAGAAUUAACUUGGACUUGUGGCGAAAGACUUGAGACUUUACCUCUGUCCAUCAUCCAUCCAUCUGUCCAGCUGAACUCUACAUGGUUGACUCUUGAGAGUAGCUGAGGGGUGAGGCCUCUACACACUUGGCCAUCCGAAAGCAUAAGUUAUUGCCCAUAUUUUUCAUGAUUUCAACCUUGAUUUAUGUUCUUUGGUUGUUCUAAUCGUUCAAAUUUGGCUGAGUAGUUAAUGAAGUGUUUGUUUUGUAGCGUGACAACCUCAGAAGUCAUUUAUUUUCCCACUUUACACAGUCUUUAAUGAUGCAGCCAGUGUUUUUGUAGGUCAGUUUAGACCUCAGAUUUACAACCAAAGGAGUUAAAAGUUGUAACUACUUGAUACGUGCCGCUCUGACAUCUGCCAGUUUGCACCUGUCCGACCAGAUGAGAUGAUGUCUACUUUCUGUCUGUGGUGGAUGUAGCCUAAGGCAUAGAGCUGGAGGUCUGGAGUGUUUUUUUUUUUUUCUCUCUCUCUUUUUCUUUGACUAAAAGAUGGCUGAGCUGCACACCAUCACACACAUACACUGCACCACAGCCAGAGAGGCAGGAUCAAGCAGAAACAUCAAGUUUCAAACUGAAUCCUGAACCUUUCUGCUGGGUUUUUUGCAGAUAUGAUAUUGUUAAAAAAGUGCUGGAAAACAUUCACAAUAUGGAUUAAAAAAAAGUUUGAUUCCUCUGCUCUCCAUAUGCCAGGCCUAAUUUGCCUGACCAAUGGUUCAGCUCCACCAGUGUUUGGUCAACAAAUACAACACCGCGCCAUCGCUGCACUAAUUAACCAGAAAACUUUGAAUUCAGACACAUGCUACCUUUCAGAUCAGAAGAAAGUUUGGAUUUGACUCCACCUGCUGUUUUCACCUUAACAUGAUUGGCUUUAAAAAAACAAGUGCGGUCUCAUUCACAGCAGGCCAAUGGCAGCUUCUUGAGCUGGGCUGUGGCCAACUCUGAAAUCCACAGUUGGUUGAGACGUGCAGGUCAGUUUAUGCAAACAACACGCAAAUGAAGAGAUGAGCUGACAAAUGCAGCUCAUUACUGAGUAAUUUAGAUUGCUGCAAAAGCAUAUGGUUGCUCUGACAUAAUAGGAUCUAAAAGACAAUGACAGCACCGAGGUGGAUUUCUGGCCAGGUUUGGCCUCUGGCGCCCUGGGACUGAUACUGCUUAAUAGACUCUGAGACUGUUUUGUUAUGAUGUCAAGCUCAGAAUGAAAAACUAUGGUGUUCUGGGUUGUAAGUCCUGUAUUUCACGGCUUCCUGAUUAAUAAUCAGCCAGACAGACUAUAGAUAAAGAUGAUCAGGAGAUAGAUCAGGUUAUUCUUUGGGCUAAAAUACACAGUUGAUAACUCAAUGAGCUGAGGAUUAAAAUUGUGAUAAAUUUUCUUGAGGCAUUGUAUAAGAGAUAGAAUUGGGUAAUUAUCAGCGCGGCUACUCCCAAGUUAGAAAUUAAUGGUUCAGGGGUUAACUGUGAUUGAAAAAAGUCGGUUUGACAGUCCUAAGGUUGACUUGAGUUUGUUUUGAUCAGGGAGGUUGUGUAAAUAAGUGUCAUUAACAGAUUCCUGAAGUUAGUGACUCAAAUAGUCAUGUUGAUAAUAAUGAUUAUAAUAGGUAGAGCUGUGUGUCAUCUGCAUAAGAGUGGAAGUUUAGACCAUGUUGCUGGAUGAUCUGACAUAGGGGAAGCAUGUAGAUACUGAAGAGGAGGGGUCCAAGUACAGAGCCUUGAGGGACACCGUGCUGAUUGUUAAUUGCACGAUCUGAUAUUCUGUAUUGGCCUUUAUUGGAUUAUUGAAAAUCACAUUAACAAUAUUCCGAUUUGUUCAGUGUAUGUUUACAGUAUAAUCUGGUUUCUUCUGUUUUAUUCAAUCUCCACAAAACAUGACAAGCAGCAAAGGGGAGGAGGGUUUGAAAGAAGGUUCUUGCCAAGUCAAAGGAUCUGAAUCACCAAAAGGAGUCGCUGACAUUAGCAAAAGCCAAUGGCAAAGCUUAUCUUGGUAAGUAUCAUAGUCAACUAAAAUAAAACCCAAAGAUAAAAAAAAGACAGGUGAUUAACUCACAGCAUCGAGGCCAUUAAUGCAGCCAAAGUACGACAAUCUGGUAUCAUCAGUAAAUGCACUUAUCUAAUAUCAUAGUUUAUAUGCCUCUUUAAACUAAACUUGCUUCGAGUAAACUCCGUGAUAAAAUCCUUAAAGUUAUAGUUCCUGUGAAACUUCUGAGAGAACUUAAUGUUCUUGUUCUUAUAAGAAGAGACUUCCUCUGACAUUCUCCGCUCGUCUCCGGAGACUAUCAGUGUCCAGCGUCUGUCGGCAGAAAGAUAACACUCUGCGGCUGUUCUGGUUUGGUAAAGGCUGCUGAUGCAUCACUUCAUGUUCCCUGCUUGUCUGUGAAUUAUACAUUAAUGGAUGAGGUGGCUAUUAUCUUCAUGCAUGUCUGAUCUCUGAUACUCAGAAAAAAAUCACACAACAAAAUGCUCCGCCUGUUUGUCUAUCACACACCCACCUCUAACCUUUUCACCUCCCCAAAAAUCUCUCCUUGUUCCUAAUCCAGGAGCCCGGUGUUACUCCUGUUCAUAUGCAGCUAAAUUUAAAUCUAAACUCUUUCUGUUUCUGCCUGUGCCUCUGCCGCUUCCUCAUCCUCUUAUCCCACAUCACCUCCCCUCUUAGCUCAAGAAUCAUCUCCGGCAACUUGUAACUCUUCCAGAAACCCCGCUGAGCCACUCCCCGGGCUACAUGCAUAAAAGUCUGUGUAGAUUCAAGACGAAAGACUGUGUGGGAACAAGAGGCAGAAACAUAAAUACUGACUCUGUUUUGUGAAGUUAAUAAAGUACACAUGCUUCUGUUUUAUCAGUCUCAGUUAUAUUAAAACUGGCUGCAGUUGAAAGGCUCAUCCAGUCAGCUAUAAAUAAAGGGAAAAAAAGUGACAAGGGCCAAAUUUCAGAAUAUAUUUUUCAAUUUUUCAUACCGAGUUUUAUUUUAUAUCCAACCAUAACCAAGAAAUACUUUAUAUCAUAUCUUAAGAACAAAAUGUGUGACAGAGGGUGAUGUCUACUCCAAUGGUAUGAUGUUUAGAAGUUACCAUGAAACAGAUUGUUCCAAUCCAUCCCACUCAGAAGAAAUGUUCAUUCUCUCCCACAGGGUUGGUUAAUGUUUUGUUGUUGGCUGAUCCAACAGUUUCUUCUUGGUUGGUGUAAAGCUUUUUUAUCUUUGCAUGUCCAUUUCAUGUGACGUGAUGGGGUUUCCACCUCUGGUGUUGCUGGAGCGAAGCCAAACCAGCCUGUAGGUGACAUAAAUUUUUCACUGGAAACCGUAAAGAAACUCAAAUGUCUUGAUCAUAAAGACACAAGCAAAACAACACAUCUCUGGGGCAAGCAGAUGAGAACUACAUUUGUAGCACAUUAUUUAUGAUGACACAGUGACAUUAGUUUUUAACAUAUUUAAGCACCUUUACUUCAGUCUCCAUCCUCUUUCUGUCUGAGUCAUUGACUUUGAAUCAUCAUGCCCUUUACAAUCACUAAUAUAGUCUUUUCUUGGAGUCCCUUAGCGCCAUCUUGACGUAGGUUCUUCUACACUGCUGCUGUGUACAUUUUGCUACCGUGGACCUGCCUGCUCUCCAGCUACAUCUACCUCUACUCUGUCCAUCUUUCUCUCUCUCUCUCUCUCUCUCUCUCUCUCUCUCUCUCUCUCUCCCCUCUUUAUACUCAGCUCAGUCUCAGCAGAUGACUGUCUAACAUGGGUCUGGUUCUGUCUGUUAAAGGAAGUUCUUCCUUUCUACUGUAAAGUGUUUCACUCAUGUGGUUGAAAAUAGGAUGGGAGUAGGUCUAAUCCAAUCUUUACCUUGGUUUUUUGUACAUAGAUUAUUGGCUCUUGGGAUAACACUUGUGAAUUGGCGCUUUAAAAAUAAAGAUUGAUUUGACUGGCGGAACAACUUUACAUAUGCCAUAAUGGUUCAUCUGAUCAAUCAAUCGAUCAAUCAAUCAAAUUUUAUCUAUAUAGCACCAAUUCACAACUGUCGUGAGCAGGUCUAGACCACGCUUAUUGUUUGAUGAAUUAUCAAGACCCAACCUAAGAUGGGAUUUGGCCCAUCUCAUCUAACAUGAGUAACAGUGGCAAGAAAAAACUUCCUUUUAACAGGCAGAAACCUUGAGCAGGACCAGACUCAUGCCAGACAGCCACCAGGGAGGGUCAUAUUUAUGAAAUCUUUAUCAAUCCUUUGAACAAGAUUUCGUCUUCUCUAGAUUUUACAUGUAUGAUAUCAGUCCCUAGUUUGACACACUUGCACAAAGAUUCCUGUGAUAGCUCUUAUAGCUUGUUGAAGGGUGGAGUCAUUAAACCAUGAAACAGGAAGUUGAUUUAAUUCCUUCGUAUAUUAUUCCAUCGACUUCAAAUUUGAUAUAAUCAGGUUCAACCCUGUACACAGGUUAAUGCUAACUUCUUGACUCGUAAUAGCUCAGCCAGUCUCCUCCUCAGCGUAUCUACAUAUAUAUUUUAGUCGUGGUCAUGAUGCCAGUUAUAGGUCCAUCUUAUAUGGAUCCAUAUUUCCUUCACAUUAGCUUGCUUUCACACAUCCUGACAGUCUUUUGAAGAUGUCUCUAUCUACAUUCGAUCUGUGGGUUCAGUGUAAUCAAACAGACAUGAAUAUACACACAGAAACAAGGUAGAGAGACCCCAAAGUGUUGUUUGUUUCAGGCUGUAAACAUUCGUAUUUCUCCUGUAAAAAUGGACAUUUUCACUUCAGCUCCACAGGGAUCCCAGUGGAUUCAAGUGAACACUCAGCGUGGACUCAAGUCAGCCCCCGGGUCUGGCCAGUUUCCUGCAGCAACCUCAACUGUCUUUUUUGGAUGCAAUAUAUUUUUUAACUCCCUCUGGACAUCUUAGGAUUGCUUCCUAUCUCCAACGCCUGGCCUGGCCACCUGCAAAGGAAGCUGGCUUUCAAGCAUGCCUACACAAUCCCAUUCUCCCUUAAAAUCUGACAAACAUGUAUGUAAAACAGAAGAAGCAUACAAACCCUGAUACUUAAAUGAAUGACUUGGAAAAUGUGUACUGCUGACAUAUCUACUGUAUUGUAGUGUUAUGAAUGCUUUCUGCAUGGCCUCUAUGUGUGUGUGUGUAUUUACACCUCUACCCUCUGGUGCAUUUUCAAAAUCAGGAUUCAACGUUCCCCUCUCCUGUGUGUACCUCUCCUGCUAUCUCCCUUCUUCAAUCUGUACCCGAGGGGGAGCAUGUGAUGUAAGAGGAGCACAGCCAGAAUACUGAUAUGUGUGGUAGAAAACCUUAGUGUGACAACCCAUAAUACCUCUCCCUUAUUUGUAAUAACGAAACAUCUUGGCAGACAGUGACAGCAGAUGAUGAUGAUGCACAAAGCUGAAAUUGCUGUUAAAGUAUAAUGAGAUGCAUAAAGUGUCCCAAGAGUUAUAGAUUAUAAAUGUGUGUUAUCUAUUGCAGUAUGGUGCAGUAACAUUGAGAUAUUUUAUCAUGGGGUUAGGACUCAAAGAAGCAAGUGACUGUUUUUAUAUCAUGUCUAAUAGACUUUGAGUGUUGCAGCAGGCCGAGGGUCACAUCACGGACAUAGAGGCAGUAUAAUACAGAUCACAGGAUUAAUAAAACUGUGCUGUUAUAAGUGAGUUAACUUUGCCAUAAAUUCAACAUUAUCUCUUUUGAAGCCUGUAACCUCAUCCUCACAAACUGGACCUAAAGGUACUAUAAGGAGUUUUUAACUGGUUGUCUGAGCAGUCAUUCACUAGGAUUGAAAAAUUUCACGGUCCAAAUCCACUUUUAAAAACAAAAGUUUACAAAGUGCUUUGACAACAGUUGCAAAGCACAGAACAUCAGUAUAAAAUCAAAUAACCAAAGCUCAGUUAAAAACAAGGCCACCCAAUUAAAGGCCAAUUUCAUUUCACAUAAGAAACCCAGUGUGGUGAGACGCCUCCUCCAUCUUGUUUUAUUUUGGCUGGACUUCCUGUGUUUGCCUGGUUUGGCUUUACUCUUUUUCAGGGCUUCCUCCCCUCCCCCGACGCUGAGGCUGAGUGAGACUACACACCUGCUCCACAUCUCCAAUCAAGGCACUUUAAGAAGCCUGCAGCCCUCAGCCUCAUUGCUGAGUAUUGUCUACCCUUCCUAGCGGUAAAGACGCGUCUCCUGGCCAACCUCGUUUGUAUCAGUAUCAGAACUUUGCUCCUCAUGACUCUUUUCAUGUUCAAUAACUCCCAUCUCCUCUGGUUUUUCCUGCAGUCAGCCUACCGGACAUCCUCGUUUGCAUUUACAACCCUUUUGUUGGACAUUAAAAGUCUCUUUAAGUUGAUCUCAGUUUCAGUGUCUGCUUCUGGGUCCUCACCACGAACCAGCCACACUACACCCAGGCAAUACAAG
rnacentral:lncRNA from 1 species